UUUUUUUUAAAUAACUUCAAAUCAAUUAUUUAAUUCAUGAAUAAUUUGUAAGAAUUGAGGGUUAAUCACCAUUUACUUCAAAUUUCAUUAUACAUUAUUAGAAAUUCUAUUAUACGCAUGUGUGUAUGGGAAUUAUAUAUUUAAAAUAUAAAUGUGUGUUUAAAAAUAAUAUAUUAUAAAUAAAAAUGUAUGAUUUGGAAUUAAUUAAUCAUAAUAGCAUAUAAAAUAUGUAUGAUAUUAAAAUGAAAAAAAUUAAAUUAAAUUGUGUGUAAAAUGAAAAUUAAACAUAUAAAUACAUCAUUUUCAGAAUAUUAAACGUUUUAAAAUUAUUUAUCAUGGUGUUGUCAUCAAUCUUAAAUUAAUAUUGAGUUGACAUGUGACACAAACUCAAUUAAUAAUAUUAUCAAUACUAGGCAUUCUAUCACAUGCGCAUGUGUGUGAAAAUCACAUAUUUAGAAUACAUAUUUGUGUUUGAAAAUAUUAUACAAUAAAUAAUGAAAAGGUUAAAGUACCAUCAAAUAUUAUAAUAUGACAGGAUAUUUUUAUAACAACUCAAUCAAGAAAUUAAAAAAAAAAGUAUAGAUAUACAAUUUUUAGUUGAUGCUAUUUUCGUUUCGUUAUUUAUUUAUUUUGCUAGAUCAAAAGAGUUAAAUUCAAUAUAUUCGAAUGUUUAGAGAGAUUUAAAUUAAAUUUUUUUAAUUAAUAAAAAUAUGAUAUAUGUAAAAAUAAAAGAAAAAGAUAAAAAUACUUUAAUUAAAAUUAAGAAUUUUAAUGGCUUAUUUAACUAAAAAAAUUAAUAUAAGUAUGAGUGUUCAAAAAUAUCUGACCUGAGAUACCCGACUUGUUGACUCGGUAAAAAAAUAAAUGGGUAUUUUUUAUUUUAAAAAAAUUUACGGGUCGGGUACCUGACCCGCUAUUUUUUACAAGUUCAUGGGUCAGGCCGGGGCCACAAGUUCUAAAUUCCAUGGGUACCCAACACGGUUACUUAUGUGUAUUUAUAUUUUUUUAUUUUUAAAUUAUUUACAUUCUUUUAGUUAAAACUUAAACUGAUUCCCAAUUUUUUACCCUAAUUACUAAAUCAUUAUCCCACUCGUUCAAUUCUCCUACGCAAAUCAUCCCCAUCAACCCUACUCCUACUGAUCGACUGACCAUAUGUGACCAUUCGUCACUCGCUGUUUGACCGCUCUCACCAUCCCCACUCUGACCGCUCUCACCAUUGCCGCUCGUCACUGUCUCAAAGCUCAAGUGAGCACUACUAUUCAAUAUUUCAGUCUAACCGCCUUCUCUUCGUCUCUUCUCAAACUUCUUUGUUUUUGUUUUGUUGUUGUUUGUUUUUUUGUUUGUUUUCUCUUUGGUAUACUAGUAAAUCAGUUUGAGCUUUUGUUUUUUAUUUCACUAUGGUGCUUUGCAAAUCUUUUGGGUGAUAGAAAAUUAGAAAUUAUGGAUAUUUUAUAACAACCGUAAAUGCUGAUUUUCAGUGGUGACAGAACAAUAUUUUCGGGAUAAAAAAUUUUCAUUAUGUUAACUUGUAAAUAUUUUUUUAGAAUUUUUAUAGAUUCAUUAGAGUCGUAUUAAAAUUUGGUUUAAAAAUAUUAAUGUUUAGAUAGUUAAUUAAAGAAAAAGGACUAAACUGAAAAAGAUGUAAAAGUUAGUAAUUAGUUUAAUUAAAUGACUAAUUAGCCUAUUAACCACAUGAGGGGAGACAAUAUAGCAAUUAGUCCCUAAUAGCUAAUGUUGGACAGCUAAGUAAGUGAAAAUAAUAAAUUAAUGUAUAAUGGAUGGCAAAUUUGUAAUCAAAAUGAAAUUAAAACAAAAUUAAGUAAAAGAAAAAUGUUCUUCAUUUUCACCUUCCAUAGUUGAAAUUCAAAGUUCUCAAGCUAGGAGAAUUGGCCAAGAAAAUUUCUAGGAGUUGAAUUCUUACCCAUUUCUUAUAUUUUUUAUAUUUUUGAGGUCGUUGUAACUAGGUCCAGCUAGCCCAUACCUUCGUUUUUUAUUCUGUUAAAAAUUUUGGAAGUUUCCUAUAACAUCUCAAAUUAGGGCCUAGUUGGAACAGUGGUUUCGAGACCACAUAUUAUAUGAUUCUUAUGAGGUCUACGAUAUGAAUGCAUGCUUAUGUGAAAGUUUCAUGAAGAGAUUCUAUGCAUAAAAUGUCUAACUAAACUUUAGGGACCAAAUAGAAUAAAUGCAAAACUUACAUUCUAGAAGCUUUAAGCAUGAAAUUGCUUUAGAUUAUGAAUUAGAGGGUCCUAAUUAGCAAUUUGACCAAUUUUUAUAAUAUUGGACAAAAAUGGACAUGCAUAGGAAAAAUUUGAAGGAAAGACCCUAAGGGCAUUUUGGUCAUUUAGUAAUUAAAAAAAUAAAAAGGGAAAAUCAAAGCAAAAAUGUGUCCAUCUUCUCCAAGUUUUGGUCGGAUUUCUCAAUAGCCAUAGCUAGGGUUUUGUUCAACAUUUCCAAGCUUGAUUGUAAGUGCUCCUUAGCCCCGAUUUUAAUGUUCAUCAUAUUUUUAAAGUCUUUGAAGCAUGAUCUACCCAUUUCUAGCUAUAUUUUGAGCUAGGGUCCAUGUAUGAAAUUUGACCCAUGUGUAACAUGCAUGUAUUUUGUUGAUUAAUGGAGUAAUAUGAAUGUUUGAGCAUGAUAAACAUCUUUUACUAGGUGAUUUUUAGUGAAAACACCUAAGCAGGGGGCUUGUUUGUAAAAGUGUUAAACUGGGUAGUAAUAAUGUGAAAUAAAGGAAAAUAUGAGCUGAUAUGAGCAUAGUAAAGGUUCUUCUAGGCUUGGGUAACCAAGAAAAUGCAUGCAUUUCAUUUUACGAGCCUAGGGACUAAAUCGUAAAUAAGUGGAAAGAUAAGGGUAAAAAGGUAAUUUUACCAAAGCAUGAAUUAUGGAUAGAUUUGAGUAAUGUGAUUAAUAAAAAGUUAAAUUUGGCAUUAUAGAAACGUAAAAUGGGUCUUAAUCGAGGGAAGAUAAAGUAUACGACGAUUAGGCUCGAUUACCAUCAUUUUUGUACCGAGGUAAGUGCAUAUGCAAAUAAUAUGGUGUUGUAGCAUGUUUUUAAUGUUUUGAUAUUAUGUGAUAAAUGUUUUCUUGUUAUUAUGAGUUAUAUGCUUAUUGGUUGUUAUGAAAGCAUAAAUGAUAUUAUGGUUGUUACAUACGACAUCAUGAGCAAGUUCGACAAAGUAUGCCUUGUGCAAGUGAGGAAAAUCCCGUUUGAACCUUAAGAAUAGUCUAGGAUACAAGUGACAUGUCACUAGGAAUUAAGAAGUCCAAACUCAUUAAGUGGUUCGAGUUCGUGAUAUAUGUGGCAUCCGAGCUCGUUGAGUGGUCCGAGUUCAUUAUGGAUGCGAGCAUCCGAGCUCGUUGAGUGGUCUGAGUUCCUAAUGAAUGCGAUACAUGUGAUUGAGUUUGGGGCAGUGGUCUUGUGUGUCCUACCGGUGGCUAGGUAAUCCGUGAGUGGUCGGAUACCUGACAGCUUUUGUGAGCAGCCCGUGUAGUUACACCUUGAUUGAUAGUUUAUAUGAGCAAGCCCAUGAGUAGCUUCAUUGCGAGCCUUGCAUGAUAUGAGGUAGCUUCGGCUGUGUAUGUUUAUGUGGCACUUAUGUGCAAGUUUCUGUGUAUCCAAUAGUAUUCCAAGUGUUCAACGAGUAUUAUAAUGAAUGAUGUGAUGAAAGUCCUGAGAUGGGCAUAAUAAUGAAGGUAAAGUUAUUUGAUAUGCUACGGAUAUGUACAGGUACGUACAUUAUACUCAUGAGUGAUGCCUUGUUAAAGGAUGAUAUGUGACGAGAAAGUAUAUUCAUAUAUGUAUAUAUGAAUACUUGAUAAAUGAGCUAUAAUAUUUGAAUGAUGAAUAAUCUUGAUGGUUAUGCUAUUUUGUUUUUGCAUGAUUAUGGUUUACUAAUAUUGCAUAUUAUUUGCAUGUGAACUUACUAAGCUUAAAUGCUUACUCUCCUUUUUUUUCCAUCCUUUGUAGUUCCGCCAAGCUAGCUCGGGGAUCGGAAGUUGUCAGAGCAUUUGAUCACACUAUCAAAAGAACAUUGGGUAUAGUGAACUUGUUAUUUUGAGUAUGGCAUGUGUAGGGGACUUGGUCAUUUUGUGAUAUGUGUCAUGCUAUUUGGUCAAAUUGUGAAGGCCUAUGAUGUUGAUGAUUCAUUUUGUAAUAGCCAUAUGAUAUGACUCAUGAUUGAUUUUUGGGUUGUAAUAUCUAAUUGUUCAUGCAUGCAUGUGUUGAUGCCUUGAUGAUGUGUUAUGUGGUUGUGUGAUGGAUAUAUGAUGAGAUAUUGUCUUGAUGACAUGGAAUAUGGUUCCUUAGUGGAUGUAUGUAGAUGUAUAGAAUAAAUGCUAGGAGAUAAGGAAUGGUUUAAUUAUCUAAGAUGACAAUAGUUAUAAAUGUUCAACUUGGAAUUUUGAUAAUUAAGUUGAUUUGCAUGAAGUUUGUAUAAAAUGCUUCCAAAUGGUAGGAUCAAGGGAAUUGUGCAAUAGAAUGAUAUUAUAAAGAUGUGAAAGUGCUAUGGUAUUGAAUAUUGAGUGUCUAAGUAUCUCAUGUUGCAUGCAAUGAAUUAUGCUUAAAUGCAUGAGUGAUUAAGGGUGGCAAGUGGCUUGGAAAAUAACCUUCAAAUUGUCCAGACAGGUAGACACACGGGCAUGUGUCCAGGCCGUGUGUGAUACACAGUCUGCCCCACGGGCGUGUUGAAUGGUCAUGUGUCCCCUACACCCUAAUUUUGCAAGUCAGUAUGCUCAGUAGUAAACACAUGGGCUAAGACACGGGCAUGUGUCUUGGUCGUGUAAGAGACACGGCCUACCCACAUUGGUGCGUAAUCUGGCCGUAUGAAGUCUGCACCUUUUUGUGAAAAAUUCAUUUAAUUCUAAUUGACUACAUGGUCCGGCCACACGGGCGUGUGACCCUAAAUUGGUGUUGAUGCCAUAGUCAGAGAGUUACACAGCUAGAGAACAAGGGCUUGUCAAGAGCACACGUCCGUGUCCCCUGUCCCACACGGGCGUGUGGCUCUUUAUUGGGGAAAAUUUCCCCAACUUUCUAAAAGUUCCCGAUUUAGUCCCGAUCCUUUUCUAAUGGCCAUUUUUGGGCUGGGACAAUUUGUGUAUGUAUGAAUGAAGUUGUUUUAAAGAGAAUUUUAUAGCUAGAUUAUUACAUGAAUGUAUGAGUACAAGUUUGGUAAUGCCUCGUACCAUAUUUCGGCGUUGGAUACGGGUAAGGGGUGUUACAUUUCCAGUGAUGAAAAUUGAAUGUUUUUGUUGAAUAUCAUGCAUUUGAAGCUUUGAGUAUGUUAUUUGAUGAAUUUGUAAAGUGAUUUUUGUUAGAUUUUGAUUUUAGGAUUAAAUGGUGAAAAUGUCAAAAUAUUAGGGUUUGAUAGUGAAUUUGAUAUUAAUUAGGAGAUGUUGGAGGGCGUAGUAUAUUUUAAUAAAAUAUUUCCAUGAGAAAGUCAAUUAAUUUGAUGAAUUUUGAGUUAAGGGACUAAAUUGUAAAAAUUGUAAAAGUAUGGGGUAAUUGUGUAAAUUUAAAAAAUAAAAUUGUAUUAAUUGUAAAAUGGAUUUGAAAUGAAAUAUAUGCUAAUAAUUGAAUAAUUUUACUUUAUAGAUCAAGAUUCCGUAGAUAUUCGAGGAAAAGAAAAAAUAGCAGAAUAGUCCCUGAACUUCUGCAAUUUCUACGAUUCAGUUCAGGUAAGUUCGUUAUAUGGUUACUAUUAAUUGUAUUGAAUAUUUCAUGCUUUUCAUUAUUGGUUAAAUCAUGAUUUUCACUUAGUUAUGUUUAAAGAAAUAGAAAUGUAAUGUUAUUAGGGCUAUGUGCCUAGUAGGCUUUGUAUUGGUGAUAUUCAGGUUGUGUGCCUAGCAGGCUAUGUGCCGGUGAUGUUUGGGCUAUGUGCCUAGCAGGCUUUGUGCCAGUGUAUUGAAAUUUUACAUCAAUUUGAUUGCUUUUGGGUUAAUUAAUAAAUAAAGUUAAUACCGAACUUACUAAGCUUUUUGGUGCUUAUUAGUUUGAUUUAUUCUUGUAGGACCUUUGGAAUUUUUACAUUGAUUGGAUUGGCUCGGAAGCUCACACACUAUCAUCAACAUCUUGGUAGUCAUUUUGGUUCUUUCUAGUUGGUUUAAGUGGCAUGUAUUAGGAAGAGUCUUUAGUACUUAGAUAUUUUGUAUAGAUGUAAAUAUUGAAAGUUAUUAUGUUAUGCUUGUUGCUAGUAAAAGAUAGUUGAACUUGUGUGCAUAAUUAGGUAAACAUUUUGGAACAUUUAUAAGUAGAAAAUGUAUAAAUUUUUUGGUGCCAAAUGAUAAUUCUUGAAUACUUAAUGUAUGUUAUGUGAAUUAGCUUUGUUUAUAAUAAGUUAAGUUACUUAACUUUGAUAAAUGUUUGGCAUGUUUAGAUGAAUUGUUGGUUUCCUGAAAUUGAGGUGCCUUGUGGGCAUAUUGGUUGGAUGAAUUAUUUUGGUACAUUGAAUGGAUUAUUUCAUGAAUGAAUUGGUUUAUUUUGAGGUUUAUUAUGUGGGAAAAAAUGAUUUUAGGUACAUAUUGGAGUUGGAGAUGAAAAUGGCUUAAAUUUGGCAAAUUUCAUGUCCACACGGCCUGAGACACGGGCAUAUGUCUUGGUCGUGUGUCCCCUGUAGGUUUUUAAGGCAUCCAAGUUAGGCAGUUACAUAGCUUGGCACAUGGGCGUGUGGUUUGGUCGUGUGACCCAAGUUAGAGAGUUACACGGGUACGGACACAGGCUGGGACACAGCCGCGUGUCCUUACUUCGAAUGUCCACACGACAUGGGACACAGACGUGUGUCUCAGCCGUGUGUGUAACAGCCCAUUUUUAGCUAAAUCAGAACAGUGGUUUUGGAACCACAAACCCGAUGUCAUAAAAUUAUUUUAAUAUUAUUUUUGGUGUUUACAGCAUGUUAUUUGAUAUGUGUGAAAAUUUUGUGAGUUAAUUUUAUCGUUUGAAUAGUCAAUUUGAGAAAAAAGACUAAAUCGCGUAAAAUGCAAAAGUGUUUUUCUAUUAGUUAAAGGUGUCAAUUGGCUUUGGCUUUUAAAUAUGAUGGCCUUAAAUGGUAAUUAGACCAUUAAAAGUGUAAGUGGACAUAUAUGGAAAUUUAAUGGAUGUUUUAAAUGAUUUUUCAUAUAAUUAUCAUAUGUUAAAUAAAAUAAAAUGAAAUUUUAUUCAUAUCAUCAGCUUUGCAACCAAAAAUAAGAAAGAAAAGAAGCCAUUGAUGAAAUUUUAGGGUUCGACAUCUUCAUAGCUCAAUUGGUAAGUGUUUUGAGCUUGAUUUUUGAUGAUUUUUACGUUUUUGAGAUCGCUACUUCGUAUUCUAGCUAGCUCGUACCUUUAAUUUUGAAACUGUUAAAUAUUUUGGGAGUUCUCAUUGUUGAAUCUAUGUGUUCUUUGAUGAAUUAUGAUAGAUUAUGAAAGUUUGUUGAUAGUUAAACUAGUUUUGUAAAGUGAUUUUUGACAAAAAUGUCAAAAAGGGAUUAAUUUGUGAAAUGUGAAAAUUGAGUGGUUGAAAUGUGAAAUAAAUGAAAGUUUUGGGCUGCUAGGGACCUAUAUGUAAUUCAGCCAAGCUUGGGUUUAAUGAAAUUAUGUGAAUUUUUUGUAUUUGUGAAAUAAGGACUAAAUUGUGAAAAUGUGAAAGUUUAGGGGAUAAUGUGUAAAAAUGCCCAAAUGAGUAAUUUUGGACUAAAUUGAAUGAACAGAUGAAUAAAUAAGUUAAUUUUGAAUUCAUAUAGAUUAAGAAAGAUAAAAUUCAGAUUUAGAUCGGGGGAAAAGCAAGGUUGUCGAGUAGUUGAUCUGAUCCGUCAAAUCUGAACAUGAGGUAAGUUUUUAUGUGACAAUUUCUUAUUAUAUGUAUGUUAAAUGCUUUAAUACUGCCUAAAAUAUGAUUAUGAGACUUUCAUUAAUGCAUGAAUUGUACAUACGAUUCUACAGAUAUAUUCGAAGAUGGAAUCGACAAGCUAAAAAUCCUGGUUGAACCUUAGGAAUAGAUUUUGGAUAUUGGUGAUAUGUUAUAAGAUGAUAUAUCGAUUUGGCUUCGGGCCAUGCGUAUCGGAUAAGUUGGCUUUGGGCCAUGUUAUUAGCACUUCGGGUGCGAGUUAUACCGAUUUGGCUUCGGGCCAUGCAUAUCGGAUAAUUUGGCUUCAGGCUUUGAUAAUAGUUCUUCGGAUAAGUUACCUUGAUUUGGCUACGGGCCAUGGUAUAGGUACUUAUCUUACGAGACUCUUGAGUACUCAAUUUCUAUUCUGAAUAGUUCAAUGGUAACGAAUAAUGUGAAUGAGAAUGAGGUUAGUACAAAGCGAAAUAGGUAUGUACAAAACCUAGUUGAGUAUUAAAUAGAGAAAGUUCGAUGAGAUGAUAUUUGAUCACGUUUUGAGACAUGAGAAAGAUUUGUAGUUAAUGUGUAUAUGAUUAUUUCAUAUAUAAUUGGUUGAAUUGUAUUUAUUCAAUAAAUUAAGUUGUUCAUAUACGAGCUUACUAAGCUAUGAAGCUUAUUUUUUGUUAUCUUUCUAUAUUUUAUAGUGAAUCAAGGCUAGCUCGGAUCCGGGAGUCGUCGGGAACAUCAUCCCACUAUCAAACAUAUAAGUUGGUACUUUUUAAACAUCUAUAGUAUAUCGCAUGUAUAGGCUAGAUGUGGUAUUUUGGUUGUGGUUAUAGCAAUGAGAUUUGGCUUGUAAAUAAUGUUAAUAUUGAUUGUGUUUGGCUAUUAGAAAUGGCUUGUAAAAGUAUAUGUUUUGGAUUGUAUAUAUAGUCAAGAGUGAUGGUUUAAUUUGGCAUGUUUGGUAUGAUUAUAGUUAUGGUUUUAUAGUUGCAGAUGGUUAAUUGAAUUGUGGAGUAUAAAUGCUUGAGAAAUGCUUUGAUAAAGUAUGAUUUUAGAAAUUGAUUUGAUAAGUAUUUGAUUAGGUAAAUGGUAUUGAAUUUGUUUGAAAUGGAUAUGGUAUGAUUGUGUAUUUGGCUGAUGACUUUUGGCUUCAUAUUUGUGUCUUGAAAUGGUACCAUUUGAGCUUAUAUAGGUAUGUGCAAUAACGGUGGCAAAUUGGCCUUGCAAAUGGCCUAAUUUUGUCCACACGGGAAGAGACACGGGCGUGUGUCUCGGCCGUGUGUGACACACGGUCAUGUUACACGGCCGUGUGUCCCCUGGUGUUGAUAUUGAAAUGAAGUCAGUAUGCUCCACACGGUCUCACCCAUGGGCAUGUAACCGACUGUGUGGUACAAGUCAGUAUACCCCUAAUUGGUACACGGCUUAGCACACGGGCGUGUGACUUGGUCUUGUUGCAUAAGUCAAUAUACCUUACAGUUUUGGCAUAGCUUAGAACUCGGCCUGGAACACGAGCGUGUGUGGCCACUUCGAAGGGCACACGGGCUAGACACACGGGCGUGUGGUCGGCCGUGUGACACAAGUCAGUAUGUAUGCCCUGUUUCCAUACGGCCUGAGACAUGGGUGUGUCUGGAGCCGUGCGAGGCACACGGCCUGUUCACACGGGUGUGUGACCGUUGUAUGGUUGAAAAAUUUUUAAGUUUCCAAAAUUUUUGUAUGUUAUCAGUUUAGUCCCGAACUACUUUUAAAGCAUGUUUAAGGCCUCGUAGGCCCUAAUAAGGGACAAUGUGAUUGUGUUGAAUGGUAUGUGAGUAUGAAUGCAUAAAUGUAUGAGUUAUGUAUGUUUUAUGAUGUAUAUUGAUCGGUAAUGCCUCGUAUUCCUAUUUCAGCAACGGAUACGGGUUAGGGGUGUUACAGUUUAUUGGUAUUAGAGCUACGGUUUAGUCGAUUCUAGGACUAACGUAGCGCGUGUGAUAGUCUAGCUAUACUUUCCAUAUAUACUCUGCAAUAGUGUGAUGAUUCCUGACAGCUUAAAUUGUGUUUUAGUACAGUAAUAGAUCCUGAACGAGCUAUAGCUGAUGAUGCAGAGAGUAAUGCGCCCACCCCUACUCAAGGGACGGUGCCAUCUAAUUCUUGACUCGUGUCGAGUAGUCAUGGAGGUGAGGCUAAAGAAGCCUUUUUCCAGAUGAUGAAUGAGUGGUUAACUCAGUAUGUCUGAAAAAAUCCGGCUAUUCAACAACCCCCACCCCCACCUAUUCCUCAACAAAUCCCUAUUCUUCCUCAAGUUGUGGAUUCGAUACGGUUGAACAAAUCGCCAGUAGACAAGAUUCGUAAACAUUGGGCUGAAGAGUUCCGAGCUACUGUUGAUGAUGAUGCUGAGAGAGCUGAGUUUUGGCUUGAGAAUACGAUUCGAAUAUUUGAUGAAUGUAUUAAAUGUGUUGUAUCUUUGCUGAGAGACACCGUGCAUCAAUGGUGGAACACGUUGAUAUCCGUGGUUCCAAGAGAAUAAGUGACCUGGGCAUUCUUUCAGACAAAGUUCCGAAAGAAAUAUAUAAGUCAGCGAUUCCUUGGUCAAAAGCAUAAAGAAUUUUUAGAGUUAAAGCAGGGUCGUACGACUAUCACCGAGUAUGAAAGAGAAUUCGUACGGUUAAGCAAGUAUGCUCAAGAGUAUGUGUCUACUAAAGAAAUAAUGUGCAAGUGAUUCAUUGACGGGUCGAAUGAAUUUGUCGUUCUGGUUGAAAGGGCUUGUAAAGCUGAGGAUCUUAGCAGAGAAAAGAGAAACAUGGAUUUAGAAGUUAGAGACUCGAGAAAAAGGUCAAUGAGUAAGCUGUAUCAAUCAUCAUCAAAGAAAUCUAGAGUUUCGUAAGCUCGCCCAAAUGCUUCAAACAAAUAUUUGAAUAGAGAUCGUAGAAAACAAUACUCAGGUUUUAAAGCUCAAGCUACAUCAGUAUUGAGCAUUGGCAGUGUGAAAGACAGCAAACUCGAGUGUCAGCAGUGUGAGAGAUGACAUUUCAGAGAAUGCUGGAAUAAAAAUAAUAAAGCUUGUUACAAAUAUGGUUCGCUAGAUCACUUCAUUCGAGAUUGCCCUGAGCUGGAUGAGAGAAAUAAAGUUAAAAAUGUGAGACCAAGUAAUACGUCGAAUAGACGAGACCACCUAGAAUUGCCGAAAAUUUUAGUGGUAGUAGAGGGUUGACAAAGGAUUCAGCUGUGAGAUAGGAGGCUAGAGCACCUACUAGAGCUCCAGAUGUUAUCGUUGGUACUUUCACUCUUUAUGAUACUAAUGUGAUUGCAUUGAUAGAUCCAGGAUCAACUUAUUCUUAUAUAUGUAUGAAUUUAGUAUCUAGUAAGACUUUGCCUGUAGAGUGAAUUUAGUAUCUAGUAAGACUUUGACUGUAGAGUCUACUGAAUUUAUGAUUAGAGUAUCGAACCCCUUAGGCAAAUGUGUUUUGGUUGACAAAGACUGUAAGAAUUGUCCGUUAAUGUAUCGAGAUUUUUGUUUUUCGGUUAAUCUGAUGUUGUUGCCAUUUAAUGAAUUUGACAUGAUUUUGGGUAUGGAUUGGCUAACGAUGCAUGAUGCUAUAGUGGAUUGUGGACAAAAGACAAUUGAACUGAAAUGUCAGAAUAAUAAGACUAUUAGAAUUCAAUCUGAUGAUCUGAAUAGUUUUCCAGUUGUGAUCUCGUCUAUGUUAGCUCAGAGAUUUGUGAGAAAAUGGUGUGAAGCUUAUCUUGCCUAUGUACUUGAUAUGAAAGUGACUAAAACAAUGAUUGAAUUAGUACCAAUUGUGUGCGAGUAUCCAGAUGUAUUUCUUGAAGAGUUAUUGGGUUUACCACCUAUUAGAGAGGUUGAGUUUGGUAUUGAAUUAGUACUAGGUACAAUGUCAAUAUCGAUAGCUCCGUACAGAAUGACUCCGACAGAGUUAAAAGAAUUGAAAACUCAGUUGCAAGAGUUGACAGAUAAAGAUUUUACUAGACCAAGUUUCUCCCCCUAGGGUGCACUGGUGUUAUCUGUGAAAAAGAAAAAUGGUAUUAUGAGAAUGUGUAUAGACUAUCGACAGCUCAACAAAGUGAAGAUCAACAAUAAAUACCCUUUGCCACGAAUAGAUGAUUUGUUAGAUCAGUUAAAAUGGGCAACAGUGUUUUCAAAAAUUGAUUUGAGAUCGGGUUAUUAUCAGUUGCAAGUUAAAGACUUAGAUUUGCCAAAGACUGCAUUUAGAACAAGGUACGGACACUAUGAAUUUGUUGUCAUGCCUUUCGGACUAACAAAUGCACCUGCUAUUUUUAUGGACUUGAUGAACCAGAUUUUCAGACCGAAUUUAGAUCGAUUCAUAGUUGUGUUUAUUGAUGACAUUUUGAUUUAUUCUCGUGAUGAAUUUGAGCAUGCCGAGCAUUUGAGAAUCGUGUUACAAACUCUGAGAGAUAAAAUAUUGUUUGCAAAGUUCAGAAAAUGUGAGUUUUGGCUACGAGAGGUAGGUUUUCUAGGACAUAUAGUUUCAAUCGAGGGUAUCAGAGUUGACCCGAACAAAAUUUCUACUAUUAUAGAUUGGAAUCCUUCGACAAAUGUAUCCGAAGUCCGUAGUUUUUUUGGGACUAGCCAGCUAUUAUAGAUUGUUUGUAAAAGGUUUCUCGAUGAUUGCGAAUCUAAUGAAAAGAUUACUUUAAAAAGAUGUUAAAUUUGAGGGGUCAGAAAAGUGUCAGUAGAGCUUCGAGCAGUUAAAAGCAUUAUUGAUAGAGGCACCAGUGUUAUAGCCUGAGUCAGGUAAAAAAUUCAUAGUUUUCUGUGAUGCAUUGUUAAAUGGAUUGGGUUGUGUUUUAAUGCAGGAAGGAAAAGUUGUAGCUUAUGCCUCGAGACAGUUGAAGCAACAUGAAAGGAAUCAUCUGACACACGACCUAGUUCGCAUUAAAAAUUUGGUGUCAUUACUUGUUUGGUGAGAAAUGCCAUAUGUAUACCGAUCAAAAAAGCUUGAAAUAUUUGAUGACUCAGAAAGAUUUGAAUUUGCGACAACAGAGAUGGUUAGAAUUGUUAACAAACUAUGAAUUAGUGAUUGACUAUCAUCCGGGUAAAGCGACCGUAGUUGUUGAUGCUUUGAGCCGAAAUUCCUUAUUUGCUCUACAUGCUUUGAACACACAAUUAGCUUUUUCUGACGACGGAACUAUAGUAGCUAAGUUAAAAGCGAGACUAUUAUUUCUAUAGCAGAUUUGUGAGGCUCAAAAAUUUGAUAAUGAAUUGCAAGCAAAACGAGCUUAGUGUGAGUUGAUUUCUGAUCUGGAGUUUCGAAUAGGGCCUGAUGACUGUUUGAUGUUUCAUGAUAGAAUAUGUGUACCAAGAAAUUUUGAGCUCAUUUAGAAGAUUCUAAACGAAACACACAGUCAUUGCUUAUUAGUACAUCCGAAAAGCAUGAUAAUGUAUAACAAUUUGAAAUAGCUUUAUUGGUGGCAUGACAUGAAACGAGAUUUCUCAAAAUUUGUUUCAAAAUGUUUGAUUUGUCACCAAGUUGAAGCUAAGCAUCAAGUGCCGUCAGGUUUGUUAUAGCCUAUUAUGAUUCCUGAGUAGAAGUGGGAUAGAGUAACAAUGGAUUUUGUAUCGGGUUUGCCCUUAUCUCUGAAAAAGAAAGAUGCGAUCUGGGUUGUUGUUGACAGAUUGACGAAAUCAGCUCAUUUCAUUCUGGUAUGUACGGAUUAUUCACUUGAAAAAUUGGCUGAGUUGUAUAUCUCAGAGAUUGUUCAAUUACACGGAGUGCCAUUAUCUAUUGUUUUAGAUAGGGAUUCGAGAUUCACUUCACGAUUUUGGAAGAAAUUGCAAUAAGCUUUAGUUACAAAGAUGCAUUUUAGCAAUUUGUUUCACCCGCAAACGGAUGGUCAAUCUGAACGAGUUAUUCAAUACAUGAGGAUAUGUUGCAUUGUUGCGUUCUUGAGUUGAAGGUAGCUGGGAAAAAUAUCUACAGCUUAUUGAAUUUUCUUACAACAAUAGCUUUCAAUUGAGUAUAAAGAAGGCACUGUAUGAAGCUCUAUACAGUCAUAAAAUUUGAACACCAUUGUACUAGAUUGAGCUUAGUGAGAAUAAAAUUCACGGGGUUGAUCUAAUUAGAGAAACAAAAGAGAAAGUGAAAGUAAUACACGAUAGUUUGAAAGCAGCUUUGGAUCGACAGAAAUCGUACGCAGACUUGAAAUAAAAAGAUAUUGAGUUCCAAAGUAAAGAUAAAGUGUUUUUGAAAGUGUCGUCAUGGAAAAAGAUAUUACAGUUUGGUCGGAAAGGGAAAUUGAGUCUGCAAUUUAUCAGACCGUAUGAGAUUAUUGAGCGAGUUGGGCCAAUGGCAUAUCGACUAUCUUUACCGUCUAAGUUAGAGAAGAUACAUAAUGUGUUUCACGUAUCGGUGCUAUAAAAAUAUCGAUUAGACCCUUCGCAUAUCAUUUCCCUGACAGAAGUUAAGAUAUAGUCAGAUUUAUCAUACAUUAAAGAAACGAUUCGAAUUUUAGCUCGUGAGAUUAAAGAGUUGAGAAAUAAGAAAAUCACAUUAGUGAAAUUCUCAUGGCCUUGACACGGAGUUGAAGAAGCUACAUGAGAAUCCGACGAAGUUAUGAGAAAACAAUACCCGAACCUAUUCACUGGUAAGACUUUCGAGGAUGAAAAUCCCUAAGGGGAGAGAGUUGUAAUAGCCUGUUUUUAGCUAAAUUGAAACAGUGGUUUUAAAACCACAAAUUCGAUAUCAAAAAAUUAUUUUAAUAUUAUUUUUGGUGUUUACAGCAUGUUAUUUGACAUGUGAGAAGUUUUUGUGAGCUAAUUUUAUCGUUUGAAUAGUCAAUUUGAGAAAAAGGACUAAAUCGCGUAAAAUACAAAAGUGCUAUUCUAUUAGUUAAAGGUUUCAAUUGACUUUGGAUUUUAAAUAUGAUGGCCUUAAAUGGUAAUUAGACCAUUAAAAGUGUAAGUGGACAUAUAUGGACAUUUAAUGGAUUUUUUAAAUGAUUUUUCAUUAAGGUUAUAAUGGUAAUUAAUAUAAUUAUCAUGUGUUACAUAAAAUAAAAUGAAAUUUUAUUCAUAUCAUCAUCUUUCCAACUGAAAAUAAGAAAGAAAAGAAGCCAUUGAUGAACUUCUAGGGUUCGACAUCUUUAUAGCUCAAUUAGUAGUUUUUUGAUGAUUUUUACGUUUUUGAGAUCGUUGCUUCAUAUUCUAGCUAGUUUGUACCUUUAAUUUUGAAACUGUUAAAGAUCUUGGGAGUUCCCAUUGUUAAAUCUAUGUGUUCUUUGGUGAAUUAUGAUAGAUUAUGAAAGUUUAUUGAUAGUUAAAUUAGUUUUGUAAAGUGAUUUUUGACAAAAAUGUCCAAAAGGGGUUAAUUUGUAAAAUGUGAAAAUUGAGUGGUUGAAAUGUGAAAUAAAUGAAAGUUUUGGGCUACUAGGGACCUAUAUGUAAUUCGGCCGAGCUUGGGUUUAAUGAAAUUAUGUGAAUUUUGCGUAUCUGUCAAAUAAGGAGUAAAUUGUAAAAAUAUGAAAGUUUAGGGGCUAAUAUGUAAAAAUGCCCAAAUGAGUAAUUUUGGACUAAAUUGAAUGAACAGAUGAAUAAAUAAGUUAAUUUUGAAUUCAUAUAGAUCAAGAAAGAAAGAAUUCAGAUUUAGAUCAGGGGAAAAGCAAGGUUGUCGAGUAGUUGAUCUGAUCCGUCAAUUUUGAACACGAGGUAAGUUCGUAUGUGACAAUUUCUUAUUAAAUGUAUGUUAAAUGCUUUAAUAUUGCCUAAACUGUGAUUAUGAGACUUUCAUUUAUGUAUGAAGUGUACAUACGAUUCUACGGAUAUAUUCGAAGAUGGAAUCGACAAGCUAGAAAUCCCGGUUGAACCUUAGGAAUAGAUUUUGGAUAUUGGUGAUAUGUUAUAAGAUGAUAUACCAAUUUGGCUUCGGGCCAUGCAUAUCGAAUGAGUUGGCUUCGGGCCAUGUUAUUAGCACUUUGGGUGUGAGUUAUACUGAUUUGGCUUCCCGCCAUGCAUAUCGGAUGAUUUGUCUUUGGGCCGUGAUAAUAGUUAUUCUGGUAAGUUACCUUGAUUUGGCUAUGGGCCAUGGUAUAGGUAUUUAUCUUACGAGAGUCUUGAGUACUCAAUUUCUAUUCUGAAUGGUUCAACGGGUAACGAAUAAUGUCAACGAGAAUGAGGUUAGUACAAAGUGAAGCAAGUAUGUACAAAACCUAUUCGAGUAUUAAAUAGAGAAAGUUCGAUGAGAUGGUAUUCAAUCAUGUUUUGAGACAUGAGAAAGGUUUGUAGUUAAUGUGUAUAUGAUUAUGUCAUGUAGAAUUGGUUGAAUUGUAUUUAUUUGAUAAAUUAAGUUGUUCAUAUACGAGCGUAUGAAGCUAUGAAGCUUACUUUGUGUUAUUUUUCCAUGUUUUAUAGUGAAUCAAGGCUAGCUCGGAUCCGAGGAGUUGUCAGGAACAUCAUCGCACUAUCAAACAUCGAAGUUGGUACUUUUGAGUUAAACAUCUAUGGUAUAUCGCAUGUAUAAGCUAGAUGUGGUAUUUUGGUUGUAAUUAUAACCAUGAGAUUUGGCUUGUAAAUGAUGUUAAUAUUGAUGUGUGUUUGGCUAUUAGAAAUGGCUUAUAAAUGCAUAUGUUUUGGAUUGUAUAUAUAGUCAAGAGUGAUGGUUUAAUUUGGCAUGUUUUGUAUGAUUAUAGUUAUUUUUUUAUAGUUACAAAUGGUUAAUUGAAUUGUGGAGUAUAAAUGCUUGAGAAAUGCUUUGAUAAAGUAUGAUUUUAUAAAUUGAUUUGAUAAGUAUUUGAUUAGGUAGAUGGUAUUGAAUUUGUUUAAAAUGGAUAUGGUAUGAUUGUGUACUGGUUGAUGACUUUUGGCUGCAUAUUUGUGUCUUGAAAUGGUACCAUUUGAGAUUAUAUAGGUAUGUGCAAUAAGGGUGGUAGAUUGGCCUUGCAAAUGGCCUAAUUUUAUCCACACGGGCAGAGACACGGCAUGUGUCUUGGUCGUGUGCGACACACGGUCAUGUUACACUACUAUGUGUCCCCUGGUGUUGAUAUUGAAAUGAAGUCAGUAUGCUCCACAUGGUCUCACACACGGGCAUGUAACCGGCCGUGUGGUAUAAGUCAGUAUACCCCCUAAUUGGCACACGGCCUAGCACACGGGUAUGUGACUUGGCCUUGUUGCAUAAGUCAGUAUACCCCACAGUUUUGGCACGACCUAGAACACGGCCUGGCACACGGGCGUGUGGCCACUUCGAAGGCCACACAGGCUAGACACACGAGCGUGUGGUCAGCCGUGUGACCCAAGUCAGUAUGUAUGCCCUGUUUCCACACGGCCUGAGACAUGGGUGUGUUUGGAGCCAUGUGAGGCACACGAAUUGUUCACACGGGCCUGUGACCCCUGUAUGGUUGAAAAAUUUCUAAGUUUUCAAAAUUUCCAUAUGUUAUUGGUUUAGUCCCGAACCACUUUUAAAGCAUGUUUAAGGCCUCGUAGGCCCUAAUAAGGGACAAUGUGAUUGUGUUGAAUGGUAUGUGAGUAUGAAUGCAUAAAUGUAUGAGUUAUGUAUGUUUUAUGAUGUAUAUUGAUCAAUAAUGCCUCGUAACCCUAUUUUGGUGACAGAUACAUGUUAGGGGUGAAAAAAAUUAUCUUUUCCCUUAAGGUUUGAAAUGUUUCUGAAUUAGUCCUGAAUCGAUUUUAAUGUAUUUCUUGGGCCUUGAGGGCUCAAAUAAGGGACAAUAUGCAUGUGUUUGAAUGAAAUUACUAUGAAUUAUGAAAUGUUUGGAAUUGAAUGUUUUUAGUUAAGAUUCUACGGUAACGCUUCGUAACCCUAUCCCAACGAUGGAUAUGGGUUGGGGUGUUACAUAUUUACUAUUAUUAUGUUUAAAGAUUCUAAAUAUUACUUGAUUGGUUCCAUUUUAUAGCUCAUGUUGUGACCCUAUAGGAAUGAGGAGACGAAUGGUUUGCUAUUAACUUUGUCUAGUAUUAGUCAAUCAUACUUUCAUCGAUUGUAUUCUGCAGUCUGUUUAAUCAUAGAAAACGGUUUUAUACUUCUUCUUUUUUCUGAAUGUACUUUGUUCUUGUCUAUGCUCUAUGGAUAGUUUCUGUUCAUAAAUCAUGUUCCUUUUUUCUGAUGUUAUUUGUUGACUGUAAUUUAAAUUGUUUUGACGAUACUGUCUUUAUGAAAAACUCAUUUCUUAAUUAAUUAUUUUGACUGUAAUUAUUAUCUUAACUGUUCUCUUGGUUUUUAUUUAGGUCACAUUUUCUAACAGCACUAUGAGAAUAAGUAAUUGAGUUAUGGUAGUUGAAUCAUCUAAUUUUCUGCUUAUUUUUUCUAGAUUAGUUUAUGAUAAAAGUUCAAAAUUUCAACCAAGAGUAUUUGUUAUCAUGGUUUUCAUUGCUUUCACCUUUCAUUGUAUAAGUUGGCAUUUUGAAUUUCUCUUUAUGUUUUCACUUUUUGCAUGUGUUUAACCAAUGACGGUAGGGUUAAUUUUCUUCCAUAUAAGGAAGAAGGCAUAUAAAUGUAAAUAAACUAAACCAAAGCUCAUGUGUACUUUGUUUGUUCUACGAAUCAUAAUUAACAAAAGUAUAUGUUUUUUUUAAGAAUAUGUCGACGAUUGGGGAAAAUGAUAAUGAAUUAAAGAAGAUAUCUUCCUCAAUUGAUUAGUCUAAGGAACCUGAAAAAGGCUAAAAUGGUGAUGGAGACUCCAACAAGUGCAAAAAACAAAAGGAAAUGGGAGAAGUCGAUGAAAUUACAACAUAUGGACUUAAAAAGAGAAAACCUUCUACUAUUUAGGAUCAUUUUAGAAAAAUUGACAGUGAUAAAAGUCAUGCUGAAUGUGUUUAUUAUGGUGGAAAGAUAGUUUGUUCAUCUAACACUGGAACUAAUGCAAUGAAGCGUCACAGUAGUCGGUGUAAGAAAGCCCCUUUUAACCUAGAUAAGAAAGCCCCUUUUAGCCUAGACAAAGUGCAACGCUGAUAGGACCAUAGAAACUGUUAGUGUUUCUAGAUUAUGCUGUUUUGAUCAAGAUGAGAUUAGACAAGCACUUGCUAAAAUGGUGAUUAUUGAUCAGUUGCUAAUUAGUUUUAUUGAACGUGAAUGUUUUCGUUACUUUUGCAAGAUUGCCAUUCCUGAUUUUGUUCCUCCCUCAUGUGCUUCUAUUACAAGAGAUUGUUAUGCUCUUUUUAUUGAAAAAAAGGAAGACGUUAAAGAAAUUUUUCAAGAAUUUGUUUUCUAAGGUAUGUCUUACCACUAAUACAUGGACAUCUGGUUAAAAAUUGUCAUAUAUGUUUCUUACUACCUAUUUCAUAGAUGAUGCUUGCAAAUUACAUAAAAUGAUUAUUAACUUUUGCUCAAUUGCUGGUCAUUCUAGGGAGCUUAUCAGUAGCGCUGUUAAAAGUGUCUACUAGAAUGGGGUCUUAAGAGGAUAUUGACUAUAAUGGUUGAUAAUGCUAGUUUUAAUGAUCUAAUGAUCGAGUAUUUCAAGCAAAUUGUUAACUUAUGGGGUGGAAGUGUGUUUAAUGCUGAAUUUUUGCAUAUAAGAUGCGCUGCACAUAUUCUGAAUUUGGUUGUUAAAGAUGGGCUCAAUGAUGUUGAUGUUUCUAUUAUGAGAGUCCGUGCUGUUGUAAAAUUUGUGAGGUCUUCCAUUGCAAGGCUUCAAAAUUUUAAAUAUUAUGUUGAAGAGUAGAAUAUAAAAUGUAAAGGUCUUGUUUGCUUAGAUAUUGAAACAAGGUGGAAUUCCACCUAUUCCAUGCUUAAAAGUGCUUUGGUAUAUAGAAAGGCAUUCAAAAAUAUGAAAACUAAGUACCUACCUUACACAAAAGAGCUUAGGAAAGUUGGUGGUGCUCUUGAUGAUGAGGAUUGGGACAAAGUUGCUUGUUUCUUGCCUUUUCUUGAAAUCUUUUAUGAGACUACAUUGAGCUUCUCUAGAUCAAGGUAUAUGAUUGGUAAUACCUUUGUGGAAGAAAUAUAUGAUAUUGGGUAUAUAAUUAAUCAUUAAGUUGAUGGCUUGAAUGAUGGGCUUAAGAGUAUGGCACGCCAAAUGAAGCUGAAAUUUGAUAUGUAUUAGGCAAAUGUUAAGAAUGUGAAUGUGUUGAUUUUCAUUACUUUGGUUCUUGAUCCUAGGCAUAAGUUAAGAUAUGUUGAGUGGAUUGUUCACCAUUUUUAUAAUCCUAACUUUUGGAUCACUGGAAAGCCUCAUGGCACAGCGAAAAAAUUAUUUUGACGAUCCAAACUAGGAAUCCAUGCACAAGGAAUGAACCGGGAAGAAAAGGUUUGAAAAAUGUACCUUUCGUACUCCGAAAAAUAGGAAGGAACCAUUAUUAUUUUAAUGCCCUUCGCACACUACCGGUCCAAAUCCACAACAAAAUCAUCUCGGCCUCUACGUAGUCUACCUUAUUACAAACGAACGAACGAAAAAAACUCUCACUGAAUGUUUCAGAGAGUUUUUCUGAAAAAAUGUCGCUGCUAGACCUAGGUUCUUUUUUCUUUUUGUGGUUUAUGUUGGUUAACACUCUUUUGCACCCGAGGGUUUCAUUUUAUUUUUCCUUUUCUCUUAUUUAAUAUUCUUUAAAAAAAAUGGAAUCCCCUUUUUGGUGCCAGAAUAUAUAUGAAAAUAUCACAGUGUAAUAUCCUUUCCAAAAGGAUAUUAAUUUCCAUAUAUAUUUUAUGUUUGUCCGAAAUGAAUUAUUAUAUUCGGUAAACAGAUCAUAAUGAAUAUUUUAUAUGAAUCAAAUUCAUGCAUUUAUUUUAAUUAUGUUCUCUAUUCUUAUAAAAUGAAUUUGUACAUAUAUUGUGUUUAUUAUUUAACUGUAAAAUUAAAUUAAUUCAAUAAUUAAUAUAAUUCUUGUGACAGUUAAAUUUAAUACCAACUGUGUUUAGAUUCUGUUCAUUUCAACCAUAGUGUAACAACCUGGUUUUAUCUAAAUCGGAAUAGUAGUGUCAGAACCACAAAUUCAAGGCUAGAAAAUUAUUUUAAUAUUAUUUUUGGUGUUUAUAGCAUGUGAUUAUAUAUGUGUGAAAAUUUCGUGAAAUAAUUUGAGCAUUUGAAUGCUUAAUUUGAGAAAAAGACUAAAUCGCGUAAAAUGCAAAAGUGGCAUUCUAUAUGUUAAAUGUGUUUAAUUGCUAUGGUUGAUUAAAUUUGAAGUCCUUAUGCUGUAAAUAGACCAUUGAUACUGGGAAUGGACAUAAAUGGUAUUAUUUUGAUGGUUAAAUGGUUUAAUGACCAAGGGUAAAAUGGUAAACUAUGUAUUAAUGAUAAAUAAAUAAAACAAAGUUAAAAUAAGCCUAAUUAUCAUAAUCCAUAACCGAUUAUUUAGAGAAAAAAGAGAGGAAAAUAUGGUUUUAGGGUUCGACUAUUUUUGUUCUUGAUUAACGUAUGUUUUGAGCUUGGUUUUUGAUGAUUUCUAUGUUUUUGUGAUCGUUGCUUCGUGUUCUAGCUAGCCCAUGUCCUAAUUUUUGAAAUUGUUGAUGAUUUCAUGAAGUGCCAUUGAUGAAUGCUUAAGCUUUGUCAUAGAUGAUGAAAAAUGAAAGAUAAAUGAUAGAUUAUCAUGUUUUGUAAAGUGAUUUUUUGGUAAAAAUUGCAUAUUAGGGAUUAACUUGAGAAAUGUGUAAAUUUAGGGGUUGAAUUGUGAAAUGAAUGAAAAUAAUAGGCUACUAGGAGUGUAUGAAGAAUUCAGCUAGCAUGAAAUUAGAAAGAAAUUGUGUAAUUUGUGUUUUUAUGAAAUAAGGAAUAAAUUGAAAGAAUAUAAAAGUUUAUGGCCAAAGUGCAAAUUUGCUUAAAUAUGUGUUUUUGGACUGAAUUGAAUGAAUCAAUGAAUAAAUGAGUUAAUUUUGAAUUCAUAUAUAUCCUGAAAGAAAGUAAUCGGAUUUAGAUUAGGGGAAAUCGAAGGUUAUUGAAUAGUCGACCCGAUACAUUAAUCCUAAAUAUGAGGUAAGUUCAUAUGCAAAUAAACAUCUUUAAAUUGACUUAUAUAUGUUUAUUUGUUGUUGAAUUGCUAUGUAUGUUGAACAAGUAAAUAAAAGAAAGAAUCGAUGAAGUUAUGAUAUCCGGAAGUCCCGUACAAACCUUAGGAAAUGUAUACGAUAUGAAUGUCAUGACAUUAGGAUUACCGAGAUGUGAUUACAUGUAAGACCAUGUCUAGGACAGCGGCAUUGUAUUGUGAUUAUGUGUAAGACCAUGUCUGGGACAUUGGCUUCGUUAUAUGAUUUCGUGUAAGACCCUGUCUGAGACAGUGGCAUCGAUAUGUGAUAACAUGUAAGACUAUAUCUGGGAUAUGGCAUUGUACAAGCUUUAUGUGAUUUCCUAGUAUCCUUAACGAUUCCUAAUGGUUUAACAGAAAAAUUCAAGCCAAGAAAGAAUGUGUGAUGAGUUAAGUGACUCAAGUACAUAUGAGAUUCAUACAAGUAUUGAAAAGAGAAGUAUUUGAUGAAUUUAUUCAUGAUAUUGAAUAUGUAUACAUUGGGAAAGGUUUGUGAGCUUAUAAGUGCUUACUCAUAGUUUACCUAUUAAUGGAAAUGAUCUUGAUGCAUGUGGUAAUAUAUUUGUAUAUGGCUUACUAGGCUUUUAAAGCUUACUUUGUGUGUUCUUUCCCUGUUUUAUAGAUUAUUGAAGCUAGCUCGGAAUUGGGGAUGUCGGGAAAAUGUCAUCACACUAUCAAUCAUCUUGUCGGUACUUUUGAAGCUUUGUAUAUGUGAUAUAUGACAUGUAUAGGCUAGUGUUAAGAUGAUAAGUGUUGAGUUAAAAUUUUAGCCAUGAGAUUUGGCUUACAAAUGAUGCAAAUGUUGAUGUGAAUUUGGCCAUUUAAGUUGGUUUGAAUUAUGUGUUUGAUAAUUAUUAUGUGAUGUAUAAGUUGUCUUAUGUUUUGGACAUGUUUGGUAUGGUUUUAUAAUUGCUCUACUAGCUAGAUGUUAAUUGAUAUAUUAUUUCUUGGAAGAUGGUAUGUUAUGGUUUGAUUUUGAGAUGAUGAAAUGGUAUGUUUUGAGACAUGAAAUAGAUGAUGAGAUGAUGAGGAAAUGCAUUUACAAGUUAUGUAAGUUUGAUGAUUUUGGUAUAUUGAUUUGGUAUGUUUUGGCUAUGGAAUUGAGUAGUUAAGAGAAUGGUUUCUAAAUAGCAUAAAAUGUGUAUGAAAUAGCUUGUUUUGGUUGCUUAUAUAUGUAUGGAAAAGGUGCAAUUUGAUGUGGUUUAGGUGUGCUCAAGGAGGGUGAGAAAUGUGGCUUCAACUAAGCCUAUUUUCCCUCCACAAGGCCGAGCACAAGGGCAUGUGGCUCGACCGUGUGUGACACAUGGCCUUAGUACACGGUCAUGUGUCCCCUAGGGUAGCCCUUCGAAUUAAGUCAAUAUAUCCUACAGGUUUGGCAUGGCCUAGACACAUGGACGUGUCUACUGGCCGUGUGUGAUACAUGGGCUAGCACAUGGGCGUGUCAUCGGCCAUGUGGUGCAAGUCAGUAUGUAUGCCCUGUUUUCACACGGCCUGAGACACGGGUGUGUCAGGUGGCCAUGUGAAGCACACGACUUGUUCACACGGGCGUGUGACCCCUGUAUGUUUGAAAAUUUUCUAAGUUUCCCAAAGUUUUCAAAUGUUUUCAGUUUAGUCCCAAACCUCGUACAAGCAUGUUUAAGGUCUCGUAGAGCCUUAUAAGGGACAAUAUGAUUAUGUUAGAUUGAUAUGUAUGUGAAAUUGAUUCAUGUAUGAGAAAUGCAAAUUAUAUGUUGUGCUUUGAUCAGUAAUGCCUUGUAACCUUAUUCCGGUGAAGGACACAGGUUGGGGUUGCUAUACAUAGGGUGUGACCUUGUAGGCUCUUGUAAGAUAGGUAGUAAUACUAGAACAUUUCAAACGUUACAAGUAAUGAGUGACAUCUAGCAAUGCAUCAUCGCUACCCAAGUUACAAGAAGUCCUGGUUUAAUAUAACCUUUCUGUGAUAAAUUUUCAUGUAUUAUAUCCUUUUGUCCUUUAUACCUCGAUUGGACACAAGUCAUGGAGUAGUUACACUUACUAAGUCCAAUCUCAUGUUUCUUGAUACCUGAAGUAGACUACAAUAAACAAAUAAGUGUAAUAUCUCAUAUUAACUUAUUUGAGUAUGGCCAUGCAUUUCUAGUCUCACUUCAUGAAGUGGCCUAAGAUAUUGCUCCCAUUAUGUAGAAGAGACAAAUCCUAUCUUGAUCAAUCAUAUCCCACUACAUAGAUUGCGGCACACCUAACAUCAGUCUUUAUAGUACAACCUAUUAUAGUAGACAUUUGAUUGUAUCAAAAUAUAUGACUCACUAUGGUGGAACAAUGAUAUCUCAAGUUUAAGGAUCGCAUGCAUUGUUAUCACUAUGAGUAAUAUUGUGACUAUUAUAUAAUAAUUCAAGAAACAUACUCAUAGCAGGUCAGUCUAAUAUGUCAUUCUCUAAUAUAUACUCAUGUAUUGAUUUUGACAUCCCUAUGUCAAUGAAAACACUUUGUCAUCAAUCAAUUACAUGUUAGUUGAUAGUACUAGAAAGAACAUAUGUUUUCCCCCUACUUGUUGAUUAAUUUGUACCCAUUUAGUUAUCUUUAGCACAUAUUUUAGCAUUUUCAGUUCAGUAAAUUGCAUUUUAUAACUCAGUGGAUCUCAGCCUAUUUAUCCUUAAAUUUGUCAUGUUUUGGUAUUGAUAUUGUAACACCCCGUACCCGAGACCGUUGCCGGAGUCGGACACGAGGGGUUAACAGACUUAAUUCACUUAUUCACAGUCCAUUUUAAAAAUUUCCAGACAAGCUGGCUAACUGCGUCACUGUCACCUUAAAAAUCAUAUCUUGAGUUCCAAAACUUGAAAAUCAGUUUCGUAAAUUUUCCCUGAAACUAGACUCAUAUAUCCAUCUACAAAGUUUUUUCUAGAAUUUUUGGUCAGGCCAAUUAGUACAGUUUAUUAGUUGAAGUCUCCCCUGUUACAGGGUUUGACUUAUGCCAUUUGUUUCUAUUGAAACUAGACUCAAAAAGGAAUCUAUACAUAUAUGGAAUUACUUCUAAUUAUCUCUGGUUAAUUUAUAAUAAAUUUCCAAAUUCAGAUCAGGGGAUCAAGAAAUUGCUUUGGCCCUGUUCCACGGAAACUUAAAUAUCCCUUAAAAUAAAACUCAUAUGAUCAUUUCGUUUCUUCCAUAUGAAAGUAGAUUAAUCAAGGUUUUAUUAAAUAAUUUAUUCACUAUUUAAUUCCAUUCCUACUAUUUUUAGUGAUUUUUCAAACUUACGCCACUGCUGCUAUCAGCAUCUGCCUUUAAGGUAGACUUUACCUAUUUCAUAGUUUCCAUGAUUCAACUAGCCCUUUAGCAUAUAUAGCAAAAAUUAUGAUCAUGAUUAACCAUUCCAAUGGCCAAUCAUUGCCAAGCAUAUCCACACCUCUCAAUAACCAUUUACAUACAAAAUGAUUAUAACACUAUGCUUAAAAUAUAUAAGCCAUUUUCGCAUGGCUAUCCAAAUAUAUACAACACCAAAGUACUUGACUAAUAACACAAGGGCAGUCCUAUACAUGCCAUUUUCAGAGUUCAAUCAAAAGUUUACCAAAAGGGGCUUUGAUAGUGUGGACGACUUCGACUUCGACAAUCCCGAGUCCGAUAGCUGACGAACCAAAAUCUAUAAAACCGAGAAUCAAAGAAAAGGAAUAAGCAUUUAAUGCUUAGUAAGUUUUGAGCAAUGAAAUCAUGCACAACUGAAGUAUAGCAUUCAUACGACUAAACGAAUAAUUUCAUAUACACAUAUUCUCACAAUCAUACCUACUUCACAUUUCCAACCCUUAUAUUCAUACAUAAGAAAUCAACUUGACUAAAAGCCGGAAGCUUGUUAAUCGAUUGAGCAAUUUUUUUUAGAAGGAAUCAAUUAUCUCAAUGCACAUACGAAACAUACCUCAUCGUUGGGAUUUUUCGAGCGUAUUAAUUGAAAUUAUUACAGCAAGAUCGCUCAUUCCCAAACCCACUUAUCUUCGGGAUUUAGCCGGAUAUAACCACUCGCACAAGGCCGUCGGGUCUUAACCCGAAUAUAGUCACUAGCGCAAAUGCCUUCGGGACUUAGCCCGAAUAUAGUAACUCGCACAAAUGCCUUCGGGACUUAGCCCGGAAUUAGUAACUCGCACAAAUGCCUUCGGGACUUAGCCCGGAAUUAGUAACUCGCACAAAUGCCUUCGGGACUUAGCCCGGAAUUAAUCACUAGCACAAAUGUCUUCGGGACUUAAUCCCGUUAGCGUCUGAAUAUUCAUGCACAUAUCAGUAAAUCAUGACACAUCUUUAUUUCAUUUUCAUAACUAGAAUUCAAACACAAAUCAAUUAUUAAGCAUUCCCAUUUUCGGCUCAAUAGCCACAUAUGAACAGCAUGAUUCGGUUUGCUUCAUGACAUGAUUUCUAUGCACAUACGGCUACUCAUCAUACGUAUAGACUAAUUAACUCAACAUAUAAUUCAAGUAGAAUCAUUAUAUCACCGUAUAUUCGUUAUGAUUAUACGUCAUGACUUAAUCAAAUCGUAAACUAAGUUCCAUUACUCGAAAACUUACCUCGGAUGUUGUCGAACGAUUUCGAUGGCUAUUCGAUCACUUUUUCCUUCCCUUUAUCGGAUUUAGUUCCCCUUUGCUCUUGAGCUUAAUUUAACAAAUAAAUUGAUUUAAUCAUUUGAACAUCAAAAAGAGAAACUCAAGGUACUUAACCCAUAUAUAUAUACAUUAGACAUUAAAGUCACAUACAUAUGAAAUCAUGAAUCAACUCAACAUAUUAACCCACACUCUCUUUUAGCCGAUUGUCUAAGCCAAGAUUAAGCCACCAAUAUGCUUACUUAUAACCGAAUACAUGCAACACCAAUCUAUGUGUUCAUUCAUGUGGUCGAGUAUACGUAUUCCAAUAUGAUAUCAUUUCCAUUUCGUUUAACACUUAACUUUUACCACAUAUCAAAUAACCCAUUUCUUGACUCAUGUGGCCGAUUAUAUUCGGUCAUGCAUACUCACAUAAAAUCAAUUUGGAGACUCUAUCAACCCAACAUACAUUCGGCACUUUCAUCCACCAUUCUACCAAGCAUGUAAUAUUCAACCACAACCAACUCACAAUCGGCCCUAGUUCAUAACAAGGUAGCCGAAUUCUUUUUAUGGUUCAAACACUCAUCUAUCAUCAUUCACCUAACUUUAACAUGAAACAACAAAACUCACCAUUAUUAUCUACCAUAGUCGAAAACCUUACUCAAUCCAAAAAUCAAAAUUUCAUCAUGGGUUACAAAAAAAAUAACUUGAUAUCUCACUCAAGAUCAACUAAAAUUUCAAGAACUAAUAUGAACACCUUACCUUAAUAUUGACCUAAGAUGACCGAUGGCUUCACUCCCUUCUUCCUCCUUUCAAUUCGGCCAAGAAGAACCAAGGAACACAACUUGUUUUCAUCACCGAAUGCUCUUGUUCCUUUUUUUUUCUUUAGAUUCGGCUAGGAAGAAACAUGAAUGAUGAUCUCUUUUUUUUUUCUUUCACCCAUCCCUUCCUUUAGUUAUCAUUUCUUUAUUUUAUUACAUCCUCCAUACUAAUAUGACACCUAGUUAAUUAAAGUUAAUAUAAAAUUCACACUUGAUUAUACAAUUUGUAGCAUGGCUGGCCACUGCCUAUAGUUUGGCUAAUUUGACAUGCAAGGACAAGCACUUUCCUACAUAUAUUAAUAGGCCACUUUAGCACUUGCCUAGCAUAUUUCUAAAUUGUCUCACAUAAGUCCCUACUAAUAAUUUUCACAUACACUGACCAAAUUGAAGUAUGGAACUAUCACACAAGCAUUUACUCACAUCAUAAACACAGAAUAUAACCUUUAAUUAUUUAUAAGACUCGAUUUCGUGGUCCCGAAACCACUUUUCGACUAGGGUCACUUUAGGGCUGUCACAGAUAUCGCUGCAUGAAUGUUUUCAGAUUGAGCCCAGAAUUGUCGUCGCACCUGACAGCUGUCCAGAUAACAACAAAGAAAUGUGAGCUGUCAAGUCUGGUACAACUAACUUGUACGUACAGAGACAGCAUGUGUCUGAUGAAAUGACACUUGUGCUUUUUGGAUAAAUAUCAAUAUAUUUAUAUGAAGAGAGAAAAAUGAAGAUCAUAUUCUUGAACUUUUCUUUUGAUACUUUUUAGCUAUGGCAACUUAAAUUUCCUACGGGUGAACGCGGGAUGCAGGUUAGCUCUUGACGAGGAGCCCUGAGUGCGACACAAGAAGGAGUUAAGAGAUCAAGGCAAGAAUUUUUGGGAAUAGUGCUCUCCACUUGUUUAUUUUAUAUUUCUUUUCUAAACGGUGGUGAUUACUUUCUAUUUCAUGUUUGUGGAAGUACACAUGAUUUCUAGUUUAAAUGCUAUUUUAUUCAAUCUUGUUUCUACUGUUUAAUCUUUGAAUUUGAAUGUUUUUAACAUGGAAAUGUUAUUACAGUCACUAACACUGGAAAGUGCAGCGACAGUUCAAGCUAACAAGCAUGACAAUGGAAGUUGCUCAAGAAUUAGAGGAAUUUAAUCUGCUUAUUCUUAAUAGUGUUCUAUUGCUAGCAUCGGAAGGUGUGUAAUGUGCAUGUUAAGUCUUAGAUUAAAUAUAGAAGUUAAGCUUGGUAAGAUAUUCAUUGCAGUUUAAUGCAUCGACAAUCACCUAUGCUUUUUACCUUGUGAGCACUUAGUAUUCUGUUGAAUAUUCACGUUAAGGAUCCCAAUUUCUCACUAUUAUAUUUGAUCUUAUUAUUUUCAAGUUAUUGCUUCGAAAACUAUUCAAAAUUUAUCUUAUUUUAUCUAUUUAUUACACUGAUAUUGAUAGACAAAAGACAACCAUCCUCAUGGGAUCAAUAUCCGAUAGACUCAUAUCUGUCUACUAUACUUGCAUUGAGAGUGUACGCUUGCACAUUAGUGCUAUGACGUUAAACAACCGACCAAGUUUUGGCACCGUUUCAUGGGAUAGUGUUUGUUUAAUGUUUAUUUUUGUUUAUUUUUAUUUCAUAAUAUUUAUUUGUUAUAACUUGUUUUCCUUUUUCCAUUAUUUUUCAGAUUUUAUUUUAGCUAUUGAAUGACUCGAAGCAAUUAGGAAUUUAUUGCCGAUUUUGAUCCAGAUAUUGAACGAACCAUUCUGAGGAGACUUCGAGAACAAAGGAAUAUGGCUUUACCAAAAAACAAUGCAGUCUUACCCCCGAUGCAGACCAAAAUGCUAAGGACCCAUCAUUCCAGUAAGAUGCUCAAUUACAAAACAGUCAUAUACAAGAUUUUGUAGCACCUAUCUUAGAUGACUUACAACCGGGAGUUGUUAGGCCAGCAAUUCAAGCUGGGAAUUUUGAACUCAAACCAGCAAAGUUCCAAAUGUUGAAUUCUAAUAGGCAAUUUGUUGGAUUGCCACAUGAAGAUACACGAGAACAUCUAAAAUCAAUUUUAUUGAUUUGUGCUUUCUUUAGUCAACAAGGCAUUCCUGAUGAUGCUUUGAAGAUGCAGUUAUUUCCUUAUUCCUUGCAAGGAAAAGCUUGUACUUGGUUUCUUGGGUUACCUACCGAAUCAAUUACUUCUUGGAAUGCACUAGCAACAUAUUUUGUUUUGCAAUUUAACCCACUGACAAUGAAUGUUCGUCUCCGAAAUAAUAUUAUAGCUUAUCAUCAGCUGGAUGACAAAAUUCUUCACACCACAUGGGAAUGUUAUAAAUCUUUGCUUCGACAUUGCCUCAUGCAUGACAUUCAAUACGAAACACAAAUUGAGAUUGUAACGCCCCAAAAUUUGAUAAAUUUGUUUCUAUAAAUAAUUGACACACAAGUGUGUAUCUGCUUUAGUGUUUAAGUGUUCUGGGUGUAUGCGAGAGGUUCCAAGUUCAAAUUUUGGCUUUUUCUGGAAUUAAGCCUUUACUGCUAGUUCAACAGGCUUAUAUUAAGUUAUUUGGAAUUUCAUAUCAGAAUGAGCCUGCUGGUUUGGUGGUUCAGUGGAGUGUUAGUGUGCUGGGGGUCUUGAGUUCAAAUUUCUGCGUGAGCAAAGGAGAUUAUUUUUGCUCGGUUUGGUGGUUGAGAGUUUGAGUUGUACUGAAAUUCUCAGUAGUAGGUGGUUGAGAUAGUGUAGGUAGUGGGGUUUGGGGAAAUCAGUUCCCAAAUUUUCUCUCCAAGAAAAAAAACAUACAAAAUCUCAUCUCCCCUCUGUUCUCUCCUUUCUUUUUGCCCUUUUCCUAAAUUUUCCUUCCCCUACUGCUGCCCACUCUAUUCUGUUCUUUCAUCAGUGCCUGUUCAGAGAUUCGUUCUUUCAUUUCCGUUAGCUUUCGGUGAGUUUUUUAAAUGUGCUUUUAGUUUCAUUUUCUAAGUGACCGAUGGGAAGUGUAUCUUGUGUUUGACAGCGAGGAAUCGAGCUGAGCGAGACUGUCAUUUCGAGGAAUUCGAGUCAUUAUGCUCGAGUUGGAAGUGUAAGUGUUAAGGCGUCGAUGUGAAUUACUCUCAACAUCAGUUAGUGAAUUGCUAAUUCGAUGUUGUGUAUACUGAUUUUAGGUUUUGGAGUGCUUGGUGUUUGGGUUAGCUUCAAACGAGACCAAGUCUGUACCCGAAACACAGAAAAUGAGAGUUAGCGAAAAGCUGAAAAACCAAUGUGUCGACAACACACGGGCGUAUGGUCGCCUGUGUGGUAGGCCAUGUGAUAGAACAUGGGCAUGUGAUCGACGAGCCAGGCCGUGUGCGCAUGACAUGGUCGUGUGAUGGCCAGGUAGGCCAUGUGCGACAUACGGGCUAAACCGAUUUAGACUGUGUGGGCCACAAGGGUAUGUGGGCCUACAUGGGUAGGCCAUAGGGGUGUGUGAGCCCAUUUUUUGAAAUAUUUUGUAAGGUUGCACGGGUAGCCCUAAUUGACUGUGGAUCUAUUGUAGGGUUGGUAAGCUUUAUUUAGACCCUUGCUUAUGUGAUCUGAUUGUAUGGUGUCUGACUGAGCAUGAUUACUAUACUGAACCGAAUGUAUGUUCUAUUAUUAGCAUAUUUGCAUGUCAUUUAUGGUAUGUUGCAUUACAUCAGGGUGGUUUGAUGAUAUUUGGAGGAAGUAUCUAAAAGGCUCUCAAGCAUGUUAUCUGACUGCUCAGCUGCAAAGCGAGACUGUCAUUUCGAGGAAUUUGAGUCAUUAUGCUGGAGUUGGAAGUGUAAGUGUUGAGGCCUCGAUGUGAAUUACUGUUAACAUCCGUUAGUGAAUUGCUAAAUCAAUGUUGUGUAUACUGAUUUUAGGUUUUGGAGUGCUUAGAGUUCGGGUUAGCUUCAAACAAGACCAGGUUUGUACCCGAAAUGCAGAAAAUGAGAGUUAGCAAAAAGCUGGAAAAUGAAUCUGUUGACACCAUACAGGUGUGUGGUCGCCCGUGUGGUAGGUCGUGUGAUAGAACAUGGGCGUGUGAUCGACGAGCCAAGCCGUGUGCGACAUACGGGCCAAACCGAUUUGGGUUGUGUGGGCCACACAGGCAUGUAGGCCUACACGAGUAAACCAAAUGGGUGUGUGGGAUUUUGGGCCAGGUCGUGUGAUCCAUACGGCCAAGGCCAAACUGGGCCGUGUGGGCCAUAUGGGCGUGUGGGCCUAUACGGGCAGGCCAUAAGGGCGUGUGAGCCUAUUUUCUUGAAAUAUUCUGUAAGGUUGCGCGGGUCACCCUAGUUGACUAUGGACCUAUUGUAGGGUCGGUAAGCUUUACUUAGACCUUUACUUCUGUGAUCUGAUUGUAUGGUGUCUGACUGAGCAUGAUUAUUGUACUGAACCGAAUGUAUGUUCUAUUAUUAGCAUAUUUGCAUGUCAGUUAUGGUAUGUUGUAUUGCAUCAAGGUGGGUUGAUGAUAUUUGGAGGAAGUAUCUAAAAGACUCUCAAGCAUGUUAUCUAGCCUCUCAGCUGCAAACUUCUGAUUAUGUGCCGCAUUCCAGUACAGUAUGGUGUAUGUGUGGGUUGAUUUAAUCCCCACAUGGUGUGUAAGGCUGGACAGAGAUGGUGUGUAAAGGUUGGUGGGUAGGAUUCUGAUUUACAGUAUCUGUAUUUUGUAUCUGAUAUGGGCCAAGGCCCUAAUAUAAUUCUGAGAUGAUAUCUAAAUGGGCUAAGGCCCAAAUUGAUUUUGUAAUGGGCUUAGGCCCGGACUGUGAAUAACUACAUUCUGAUGCAUUUUGUAUGCAUGUUUUUCUGUGGGGAUUACACACUGAGUUUGUGAAAAACUUAUCCUUUCUACUUAAUCUGUACAAGUAGUACCCAAACUUGACGGAUCAGCACAGUGGAGGACUCGACGAUGGCCACACGUGAAUUCUAGACCAUUUUAGUAAAUUUUCAGAAUUUAUUACUUAUUUUGAGUUGAUGUAAUUUUUGGGACUUUGGACUUUAUUGGGAUUUUUAAACUAUUUAUGGAAUUUUAGUCUAAACUUGAUUUUUAAUCAAAAUGACGGCUUUCUUAAAUACGAACAGUUUUCCAAAGAUGAACUUUUUCAAAGCUUUCACUAAAAAGAUAUGAUUUUUGAUAAAAUAAAGAAAAUGUGUUUUACCUUGAACUAGGAUAAAGACUAACUAACUAGAACAAUUUUAACUAGACAAAUUCAUUUUCAACUUUCAUUCCAUGCGACAUCGCCAGAUUCGGCCAUAACGUCUGGGCCGGGUUUGGGGUGUUACAGAGAUUUUCUAUAAUGGGCUGAAUUCACAUACAAGGAAUCUUGUCGACGCAUCAGCCAAUGGUCCUUUGCUGGAUUGUACUUAUAAUGAUGCUAUUGGAAUUCUUAAGAGAAUUGCUCAGAAUGAUAAUCAAUAUCCUAUCCCUAGAGGCACACAAGAAAAAGCUACUUCGAGAGUUAUUGAAUUGGACGCAAUAUCUGCACUUAGUGCUCAAGUUUCUUCUCUUGAAAAUAUGAUAAAAAAAUAUGCAAGGGACUAGUGACGUUGUGCCUAUACAAGUCACUCAAUAAGUUGAUAUUUCGACCUUUUGUUGUGAGAUUUUUAGUGACAACCAUAACUUCGAAUAUUGUCCACAACAUGCAGGAAAUGCCUUUUAUGUCAGUAACAUCCGCAACAAUUCUUAUAGCACCUUUUAUAAUAAUUCUGCACACAAUCAAUAGUCUUGGGGAACUUAGAAUGCUGGACAAAAUGCUGUGCCAUUUCAAUAUGGGAAUAUAUCUUCUCAGGCUAGUUAUAAUCCAAGGCAAGGGAAUUACAAUCAACAACAAUAGAACUACAAUUAACACCUUUCGGUGCAUACACAACAAGGCUAGAUGACACACCAGAAUCAGAUGCUGCCACCACCCUCUUGAAUGCCAAAUCAGCAUGGUCAAGAACAUCGACGACAACAGUACAUACAUGAUUCUCCUUUUGACCUGUUAGCAUCUCUUGAAGCUUUAAUGCGGGAGCAUAUGACUCGCACAGAAGCUAUUGUACAAGGGAAUUCAUCUUUUCUUCGGGCGUUGGAGGCACAAUUGGGACAACUUACUUCGAAUCUAAAUACUUGACCUCAGGGUACACUACCUAGUGACACGGACAAUCCUAGUCCGAGAGGGAAAGAACAUUGUAAGGUUAUCAUUCUUAGGAGUGGUAAACAAACUGGUAAGCCGACUACAAACUUUGUUGUAGCACCUCAAGAUACUGGUGAAGUGAUCCCUGGUAAGAAUGUUGAAUCUAAAGAGCUUGUCAAUGUACCAGACAAAGAAGUUCCACAAAUUGUCACUCAUAUGCCUCAUUUUCGACCCUCGAAACUAUUAAUGUAAUGAAGGGUGUUGGCGUAAUCAGAUGUAUCUAUACCUUCACCUUUCCUACAAAGAUUCAGGGAGAAUGAACAUAACAAGCAGUACCAACAGUUUCUAAACACACUGAAGCAACUUUAUGUCAAUAUUCCUUUAGUAGACGCUCUUGUGCAAAUUCUGAAUUAUGGGAAAUUUAUGAAGGAGCUCUUGUCCAAGAAAAAGAAGCUCAGUGAUAUGGAAACUAUUGCACUCACAAAGGGCUGUGGUGCUAUUUUGACAAAUAAGUUGCCCCUCAAAAAUGAAAGAUCGUAGGAGCUUUACUAUCCCAUGUUCCAUUGGCAACCAUUAUUUGGGCAAGGCCUUAUGCGACUUGGGAACUAGCAUCAACUUAAUGCCAUUAUCUACUUUCAGAAAGUUGGGAAUUGGUCACAUGAAACCUACUGUAGUGACAUUGCAACUAACUGAUCGAUCCUUGGCUCAACUAGUAGGGCAAAUUAAAAAUGUUUUAGUUCGCGUGGAUAAAUUCAUUUUUCCGGCUGAUUGUAUCAUACUUGACUGCGAGGAAGACAAGUAGGUUAGCAUAAUCUUGGGAUGACCAUUUUUAGCCACCAAAUGAACUCUUAUUGAUGUUUACAAAGGUGAACUGACCAUGCGACUUAACGAUGAGCACGUUACCUUCAGUGUUUUUGAAUCUAUUCAAUGUAAGGACAAAGAAGAUUGCCAUACUGUCAAGGUGUUAGAUGAUUUAAUUGCGAAAGAAUUCAACGACCAAAGCACAAUACUUUCUGAGGAGGUUGCAGUGACAUCUAAUGAUGAAUUUGUAGAUGAUUGUGACAGCAUGGUUGUAACACCCCUUACCCGUAUCCGACGCAGGACAGGGUACGAGGCAUUACCGAAUAUAAACACAAGCAUUCAUAUAAAACCGAGACAUGGAUUUCAGUCUAAAUUUAAAACUUUUCAUUCACAUGCAAAUCAUCCCUUAUAUGGGUCCUCGAGGCCCAAAACAUACAUUGGGUGUUGUUUGGGACUGAAUCGAGAAAUUUCAGAACUUUCAUAUCUCUUAGAAAUUUUUCCUCAAAAUAGGAGUCACACGCUCGUGUAGGUAAGCCAUGUGGUCACACACGCCCGUGUGGCUUGGGACACGCCUGUAUCCUCAGCCCAUGUAACUCUCUAUUUAUGACGUCAUCAAUCAAAAUAGGAUCACACGACCAAGUCACACCCCCGUAUGCUAAGGCCAUGUCCUUCAUACGGCUGAGACACACAGUUGUGUCUCUGCCCGUGUGUUUGCUACUGGGCAUUUUGUUUUACCUAAUUAGGGUGCAGGGGACACACGGCCGAAACACACGCCCAUGGGCAGACCGUGUGUCACACAAGGCUUAGACACAUGCCAGUGUGUCUACCCGUAUGGACAACUUUGAGGCUAUUUUUCAAGCCAAUUGCCACCCUUAUUUUCUCAAACACAUACAUGACUUCAAAAGCACUUAACAUUGCAUAAUUAAGCAAUUAAACAUACAUAAAAAAAACCUAAUCAUGAUCAUUUCAUCUUUACUAAUACAUGCAUAAGACUUCAUGCUUUGUCAAACCAAAAUUAUAAAUUUGCAUGCACUAAGAGUUGUAGUUUAUUUCUAUCUAACAUACUCAUGUCUUAGAUGCCAUAAUGUCAUUUAUUCACAAUUCCAUCAUCAAACACCCAUAGUCACAACACAUUUGCACAGGCACAUGCAUGCAUAUAUGAGUAGGUUUACAACCCAAUACACAAUAUGAGCCAUAUCUCAUGGCCAUAUACAAAAUGAAUCACUAAAUCAUUAUAAGCCAACAUGCUUGGGCAAAUUAAUAAUGACAUAAUUAAUCAAUAGACAAAGUCCCUAUACAUGACAUAAAUUUAAAACACUUGUGUUCACUUAUACCCAAAUGAUAGCUUGAUAGUGUGAUGGCGUCUCCGGCAGUCUCCAACCCGAGCUAGCUAAAUUAACCUAUAAGGGAUAGGAAAGGAAGGGGAGUAAGCUUCAAAGCUUAGUAAGUUCAUAUGUAAAUAAUAAACAACUAUUAACAUUCAUUUAUUUUACCCAUUCAUAAGAAUGUUAUUAAUACAAUUUGCAUUAAAUCUCAUGAUUACCACUUACUCAUUCAUGAUGCUUACUCUUUAAAUUACAAACACUAGUUGCAUGUCUUGGAAUUAGACUAACGACCAUGAUCUCCUCAUUAUAGCAUAUCACGUUAUUUAACAAGUUAUUUCAACUAUCUUAACAACAUGCACAUCAUUUAUGAGUAAUCAUAAUUUCCACAUAGCUUAACAAUCUUUCACACAUCUAUUGAAUCACAGCUUAAGUAUAUACAUCGUACUACUUUACAAUUCGAUCAAGCUCAUAUGCCUAUCACAUGAUUAUUAUCAAAUUUUAUCAUGUAUCCAUUCAUCAUAAAUGCAGAUCAUUUGUUACAAGGUUAUCAAUGUUUCACAAGCAUAACUUGUUCGUGUACAUACCUGUACCUCACAUAAUAUAGUCACAUGCUUUCUCGUAUGCAUCCUUACCAUAUUUUCAUAGUAUACCGAAUCCUUUACUCAUGAGUUAUAAGUACAAACCUUUACUAACUUGUAGCACAUUCUCAUAUUUCCUUGUCAUUGACUUACUUGUCAAAUAACUCACUGAUUUACCCGUUGAACACUUGGAAUACUAUUGGAUACACGGAAAGCUCGCACAUAAGUGCCACAUUCAUAGCUAAAGCUACCUCAUAUCACAUAUCACAUGUUGCUCACUUUCAAGCUACUCACUGGCCUACUCACUUGAGCUGUCAGCUAGGGUGUAGCUACACGGGCUGCUCAUGCAAGUUGUUAGGUAUCUGCAACGCAUGCCGGACUACUCAGCCACCGGUAGAACAAACAAAACCAGCACCCAGACCGCCAUAACAUGUGUCACAUAUAUCAUGAACUCAGACCACAACUCAUGAGCUCAGAUCACAUAGUUCCUAGUGACAUGUCACUUGUAUCCUAAACUAUUCCUAAGGUUCAAACGGGAUUUUCUCAAUGUCACAUCCUUGCCGAACUCAUUUACCAUGUCAUUCUCAUAGUGCAUAACAUCGUUCAUACACUCAUCAUAACCAUUUAAAGAUAGAAAAUUGUACAUUAAUAAAGCAUUAAACAUAUGAUCAUAAUAUUUCAUUUUAUACACAUGAACUUACCUCGACACCAAAAUGGCAAAAUGGGACCUAACCGUUAAUUUCUCAUUUUUCUCUUGUUCUAGGUCCAAACCUUGUUUUCUUUGAUCUAUAAUAUCACAUAUAGUCUAUUUAUUAGUCACAUUAGUCAAUGUGAUCCAAAAAUCAUACUAUGUAAAAAUUAUAUUUUUGCCCCUAAACUUUGUCAUAUUUACACUUUUGCCCCUAAGCUCGUAAAAUGAUUUUUAUUCAAUUUUUUGCACUUUAAGCCUACCCGAAUCAUUUUCAUAACUAUAGCAGCCUACAAUUUCCACUAAAUCACACUUUUAUGUCAAAUUUUAUAACUUUUACAAAUUAGUCCUUUUUAGCGUUUUCACCGAAAACUACUUAAUAAAAGUUGUUUAACACACAAAAAAUAUUCAUAUUCCUCCCUUAAACAUAAAAAUACACAUAUGUAACACAUGGGUAAAUUUUUAAACAUCAAUCCUAGCUCAAAUAAAUGGUAGAAAUAGAUAGAUCUUAUUACGAGGAUUUUAAAAAUGUAAAAAUCAUUAAAAACGGGGUAAGAACAGACUUACAAUGGAGCUUGGAAAGCUUGAACAAAACCCUAACCAACGGUGGUCUUCAAAAUUUCGGCCAAGGGGUUGAAGAUAACCAAAAUUUGACUUUUAUUUUGUUUAUUUAAUCAUUUAAUUACUAAAUGACCAAAAUACCCCUAACUUAUAAACAUUCUAUUUCACCUAUUUCAUGUCCAUUUUUGUCCAAAAAAUUAACCAAUGGUAUAAUUACCAUUUAAGGACCUUAAAUUUAAAAUUUCAUAGCAAAUUGACACCUCUAGCUUCUGGAACUUAAGUUUUGUACUUUUUAUAAUUUAGUCCUUUUGACUAAAUAGAGUGCCCAAAUGUCAAAAAUUUUGAAUGAGAUUUUCAUGAAAUCAUUACUUUAAGUUGUAUACUAUAAAAAUAUAAUAAAACUAAAUUUUCUUACGUCAAAUUUGUGGCCCCGAAACCAUUGUUCUGACUAAACCCAAAAUCUGGCUGUUACAAUGGUUGAAGUGAAAAAUAUUAAAGUUAAGCAUGGAUGGCAGAUCGAAUCCUCAGACUUAGCCAACAGAAAAACUCCAAUUUUCAAUCCAUAUAUUAAUGAAGCUUCUACUCUGGAAUUGAAACCGUUACCUACUUAUCUUAAAUACGUCUUUCUUGGUGAUAACAAUACUUUCCCAGUUAUUGUCUCUGUAACAUUGGAUGUCACUCAAGAAGAGAAAUUGGUUGAUAUUCUUAAGCAACAUAAAUGAGCUAUCACUUGGAGUAUUGUCGAUAUCCGAGGCAUUAGUCCUUCUUUUUGCAUGCACAAGAUCAAUAUGGAUGAUGAAGACAAGCAAUCCAUUGAGCAACAAAGAAGAUGAAACGAGAAGAUGAAGGAAGUUGUUAAGAACAAACUUAUAAAAUGGCUUGAUGCUAGAAUUAUUUAUCCUAUUUCUGAUAAAAAUUGGGUAAGUCUAGUGUAAUGCGUUCUUAAAAAAAGUGGCAUCACUAUGGUUAUCAACGAUAAAGAUGAAUUAAUUCCUACACGCCUUCCUACAAGAUGGCGAGUCUGUAUGGAUUAUUGCAAACUUAAUGCUGCCAUAAGGAAGGACCACUUGCCACUUCCUUUCAUUAACCAAAUGUUGGAUAGGAUUACUGGAAAAACCUAUUACUAUUUCUUAGAUGGCUAUUCUAGAUAUAAUAAAAUUGCGAUUGCACCGGAGGAUCAAGAGAAAACAACUUUUACUUGUCCUUUUGGUAUUUUUGCUUUUUGUCGUAUGACUUUUGGUCUUUGCAAUACGCCAACCACAUUUUAAAGGUUCAUGAUGGAAAUAUUCUCGGAUAUGAUUGAAGAUUCUUUAGAGGUUUUUAUGGAUGAUUUCUCAGUCUAUGGGAAUGAUUUUGAUCAUUGCACUGACAAUUUGGAUAAAGAAUUGUAACGAUGUGAAGACACACAUCUUGUUUUAAAUUGGGAAAAAUGUCAUUUCAUGACAACUAAAGGCAUUGUGUUAGGCCAUCGUAUCUCUCGUUAAGGCAUUGAAGUAGACAAAGCUAAAGUGGAAAUCAUUAAGAAAUUACCUCCACCGACAAAUGUGAAAGGUAUUCACAGUUUUCUUGGGCAUGCGGGUUUUUACCAAAGAUUUAUUAAAGAUUUCUCAAAAAUUGCAAAGCCCAUAUGCUUAUUGCUAGAACAGAAUCAAAAAUUAUUCUUUAACGAUGUAUGUCUAGAUGCAUUCAUUCAAUUAAAAAAGAAGCUAGUAAAUGCACCUAUUGGUGUUGCACUAGAUUGGUCUCAACCUUUCAAAGUUAUGUGCGAUGAAAGCAACUUUGCUGUGGAUGCUGUUCUAGGACAAUGUAAGGGAAAAAUAUUCCACGCCAUUUGUUAUGCUGGCAAAACUCUUACAGAGGCUCAAAGCAAUUAUUCCUCUACAGAAAAAGAAUUGUUAGCUGUAGUCUUUGCUUUCGACAAGAUCCAUUCUUAUCUUGUCGGUGCAAAGGUUACUCUAUUUACUAAUCACUCAAUGUUGAGAUAUAUUUUUGCGAAGAAGUAUACAAAAUCAAGAUUGAUAUGCUGGAUCUUACUAUUGCAAGAAUUUGACAUCAAGAUAAAAGACCACAAGGUUUCAGAAAAUCAAGUUGUAGACCAUCUAUCUCGAUUGGAAAUUGGCAGCGAAGAUGGAAACAUACUUCAAAUUGUCAACGCAUUCCCAGAUGAGAAGUUACUUACUGUAGCUGCAACAUCUUGGUAUGAGAAUUUGGUUAAUUAUCUAGUGUGUGGAAAAUUCCCAUUAGGUGUCCCAGGCAAUAGCAAAGAAAGAUUUUUUCAUGAAGUAGAGAAGUAUCAUUGGAAUAAACCAUAUUUAUUCAAGGUAUGCAAUGAAAACAUUAUUUGGCUUUGUGUUCCGGAAGAGGAGAUGCUUUCAAUCUUGAAGCACUAUCAUGAUGCUCCUUAUGGCGGUCAUUUCGGUAGCAUGCGAACUGCUAUUAAAAUGCUCUAAUCAGGAUUCUACUGGCCUUCAUUAUUCAUAGACCCCCACAAAUUUGUGCAUCAAUGCGAUAAAUGUUAAGGCACGGGUUCUAUAUCUUAACGCAAUGAAAUGUUACAGCAGCCAAUUAUGGAGGUUGAAUUGCUUGAUGUUUGGGGUAUGGAUUUUAUAGGACCAUUUCCAAGUUCAUUUGAAAAUAUUUAUAUUUUAGUAGCUGUUGACUACGUCUCGAAGUGGGUUGAAGCUGUUGCAGUCCCAAAGGAUGAUGCAAAGACAGUGCUUAAAUUUUUUCACAAGCAUAUACUCACCCGCUUUGGCACACCAAAGGCAUUGAUUAGUGAUCAGGGUACACACUUUCAUUACAACCAAGCGGGAACCACACUGAAGAGAUAUUGGGUUAGUCAUAGAAUGACCACUACUUAUCAUCCGCAAACUAAUGGGCAAGCUGAAGUGUCAAAUCGACAAAUUAAAACCAUACUUGAGAAGGUUGUAAACCCUUCGAGGAAAGAUUGGUCUUCCAGAAUGGAUGACGUUUUAUGGGCAUUGCAGACAUCAUACAAAACUCCAUUAGGGAUGUCACCAUAUCAAUUAGUUUUGGGGAAAGCAUGUCACUUGCCAGUUAAAAUGGAACACAAAGUAAUAUGGGCAAUUAAGCAAGUGAACAUGGACUAUGAAGCUACUGGGAAGAAAAGACUGUUGGAUAUCACUGAACUGGAGGAGAUUAGGAAAAAUGCCUAUGAAAACACUACAAUUGACAAGGAAAAGGCCAAAUGAUGAAAUGAUAGAAUUAUUUUGUAGCGACAAUUUAUAAUGGAUCAGUAAGUUUUAUUAUUCAAUUCUAAACUGAAACUACACCCGGGUAAAUUGCGCUCUCGUUGGUUUGGACCUUUUGAAGUUGUUGAAGUAUUUCCUCAUGGUGCAAUCACAAUUAGAUACUUACAUGAUAGACACCAAUUCAAAGUGAAUGGUCAAUGAUUGAAACAUUAUCUUGGGAAUAUUGAUCAAAAGAAGGCAGAAACCAUUAAAUUGGUCGAACAAUAUUAAUUUUUUCUGCAAUUUAUUACUAGGUAAUUUUAUUUUAUUUUUUCUUCUGUUUGAGUUUUUAUUAUUAUUAUUAUUUUUAAUUUUAUUAUUUCAGAAUAAUUAGGUACCAUUGUCGAUGCACUUGGGCUUUAUUUUCAACGUAGUUCGUACUAUUAUACUGUCACUUCUGACUUAGCAAGAAUGAGGGCAGAUUAGAAAUUUAAGAUCUCAUCGUUUGAUCAAAAGUCACCUAGUCGUCUAGUCUUUCUGAGCGGGCACAAUCCUCAUUGGACGUAAUUAUUCCCACCAGCUUUAUUUCGUUUUAGAAAAUCACGUCUUUCCAUCUUCUUUUUUCAGUCACUGUAAACCCCUCUUCACUGUGCCGACUAUGAAACACCUAAGCAACCAUUUUUGUUCACUUUCUCUUCCUCAAGUUUGUACCUUUACACUUUUAAAUCAUCUUCACUCCACAAAACAAAAAAAAAUAUGGUAAGAAUGAGAGGAUCGGUCAAGAAAGCCACUAAGCCUAUUGAAGAACACUCAUCCUCUGCAAUUUUAGUUCGAGUGUCGGAAUCCUCCAUGCUAAUGACGAGAAAGGAAUAGAUGAUCUUUUUAACGAAAGCGGCCAAGGACCGGUUUCAAAACAACAUCUUAAAGGCAAACUUCCGCCCAGAACAAGGCAUUCUCCUUUCACAAUAACAAGGCUUGGGUAUACAAGUUUCCAGAACCAUCUCUAAGUUGAAGUGGGAAACUUUCUACAUGCAUCCUGGAAGCUAUUCUUUUUCAUUGGUACAUGAGUUUUAUGCUAACCUUUAUGACCAUGAGUUGGAGUUUAUCUUUGUUUGAGAAGAUUUAAUCCAAUGGGAUGCUACAACAAUCAAUGAACUAUACAACACUAAGGUGGAUGUUGAUGAACACUCCAAGUUUAUUGAUGAUGUCAGAGACGACAAAAGGGACCUGCUGGUGAGGGAUUUAUGUGUCGAAGGAGCAUUGUGGACGGGUGCACAUCAAAAGAAUUAUACGAUGCACCAUCACUUCUUAACAUUGCAAAGCAAAAUCUAGUUUCAUUUUGUCAACUGCAGGUUACUGCCAUCAACUCACAGCACCACUGUCAACUUCGAUAGAAUAUGCCUCAUACAUUCUAUUGUCAAGGGUAGAAAGAUUGAUGUUGACGCAAUACUCCACUAGAAAAUUGCUGACAAUGCCGCGAGGCAAAAUGGAAUUUUGGUUUUCCUGUCGUUGGUAAUGCUACUAUGCCAGCAGAAAGGGAUUGUGCCUCAUGAUGAUGAAGAGAUCUUGGAAAAUAAGGGCUCGAUUAAUGAAACAUUCAUUGAAAAAAUGACUUGUGGUAAAGAUACGCCGAAAAUAAAGGAGGCAGAGACUAACAAGACAAGAAAGGGCAAAACCAAAUAAGAAAACAAGGGAACGAACUUGACUACUGAGACAUCAUUGCUGUGUAAAAUGAAGGAUAUCGAGAAGUUGGCCAAUUCCAUCAGCAAUAAGCAGAUCAGGCUUGUCACUACAAUAAAAGAUGUAGACAUAUCACAAAAUUUGUUCUACACUUAUGCCAGGGCAUAUAACAACUGCAUUGUCGCCACAUUACGUCAGUUAAGCCUAACGCCACUAUCAGAAUUUCCAGUGUUCCCACCGAUUAUUCGAGAGUAUGAACCCUCCUCCGAGGAAGAUGACCUAGGGGACUGAGACAGAUCGGUAGAAUCCCCUUCCAUUGUGCACAUCUUUGAUGUUGAGAAAGAAGAAGACUCAAGGGACAUUGAGGAGUGCAUGCGACAGAUGGAUAACCUAGUCGAAGGCAACUUCAUUUCUGGUCAAGAAGCACCUACUGUUAAGAAGGAAGUUGUUGUAGAGGAGGAGGACGUCCGUGUUGACGUUGUUAACGAGAUGACAGAGGAAUAAAAUACUGAGACAGAAGCUACUGAGAAAGAAUCUAUUGAGGAUAUUGCCAAUGCAUCUGAGUUUGUGGGUGCAACUACUGAUAAUCUGGAGCGAGAUGGAGCUAGAUCAGCGGAUGCUAUAGAGUUAACCAGUGAGGAGCACCACAACUCAUUGGGAUAGUGGUCUAUACCAGACCACUCAAGGUGACCCUUUCUAUACAAGAAGUAGCUGAUAAUGCCAAGGUAAUGUCGGAAACUGAGGAGCGAUCCAAGGACCGUGUGAAACCCAAAGAAAAGAAGAGAAAGUGCUUCAAAGACAAAAAAUGCAAGAAAGAGGAGAAAAAGAGGAGGAAGAAGAAACAUCGUGUAGCCACAUUGAUGGCCGAGGAAAAUUGCGUUAGUUUAUUUUAAGUUUUAGUUGUAGUAUUCAUACACUGCAUAUAGUUGUAAUUUUCAUUUUUUUAGUGUACAUUGUCGUUGCAUUUUUAUUGUCAUUGCAUGUUAAUGUUAGUGCAUUGGAGACAAUACAAAUGUAACACCCCUAGUCCGUGUCCGUCGCUGGAUUAGGAUUAUGAGGCAUUACUGAUCAACGGCUCAAUUCCAAACAUUUACAUAAAUAUAUACAUUCAUUCAAGUCGAAUUCAUUAUUAAUGGAAAAUAAAACCAACUUAUGUUUCAAAACAAGUAUUGACAUAUAUCUUGCAUAAACAUUGUUGCAACUAAACUCAACGUAUUGCUUACAACAUCAAAAUAUUUACGUGUAUGAUAUUAUCUAACAUUCACAGGGUCAGACAUACUUCAAAUAUUAGUCAUGUGGUUAUUCAUAUUGUAACUAAUUUACAUACACAUUUAAAAUUUACAAAGUCAUAAAGUAUGUAUAAACCACCUCUUAUGCGACUAAAAAAAAUAGGCAAAAUAAACUUGCACGCUUUAUUCUUUAAUACAAGUGAAUCAAUAAUUAGGCUUCUUAACUAUUAAUCUUUAGUGCUAUUUGCAAUUUAACAUAAGAGCAAGUCCUUAGAAAUCAUGUCUAAUCAUGCAACCAUAUUAUAAAAUUUGAUAAAUAUUCCCAAAUAAAUGUUUAAUAAAAUACACUAUGGCCGAAUAGACCAACAUAUACAUAUAAAUGCAAUCAACCUUAAGGUGGUGGUCACCUUUAGCAUUAAACACAUGAUAGCACAAUUGACCAUUUAUUCACAUGACGCAUGCAAUAUUCAUCACUUGACAAACGAAUCAGUUAACUUGUAAACACUUAUCUAAUAUUUCCUUUCUAAUUCUUCGUGUCUAUCAUCACCAACCCGAGUCAAACAUAUAACACUUAAUAUAUAUAUAAAUUGUAAGCAACCUUCACAUUUAAUAAAACCAACCAUUCAUAUAUUUACAUAUAUAUAUGUAACAUCUAUAAUAUAAUCACUUUAUGCCCUAGUAAAGUAUAAAUAAUUUUUUUAACUAAAUCAAGGUGACCGAAUAUUUCAUACACACAUAUAAUAUAAUCACAUAACUAAACAUAACUCUAUUCAACCUUUAACACAUAAUAUAUUUAUCAAAAGGCUUGGACAAUUAUUCAAUCCCAAACCGAGAUCAACCUAAAAUAUAAAGCCAUUAUCAUUGCACAAAAUACUUGCCACAUACCAAACUAUGAUCAAGCAAUAUAACAUAUGUCAAGCCAAAAUCAUGGAUAGCAAAGCUAAGCACAUGUGAAACCGAAACCAAACAUAAGUAACAAGCCAUUUUCGCAUGGCCUUAGUUACAUAGCCAAAAUCAAUAUCUCAAAAUAUGUUUCAGCCUAUACAUGCUAAGAUAAAAUACAAAAUAUAAAUAAAUUAAAUUAAACCAAACCAAUACAACAGUCCAGUUCUAUAACAGACCCAAACCCAGCUACAUAACCUAAGCCCAAUAACUAAACCUAGACCCAAAUUUAAAACCAAGACCCAAAUACAGGCCCGAUGGCCCAAAAAAAUUUUAGAACAAACAAAACCCUAGGGUUCUCUCUCUCGCGCCGCAGCCAAGCCUUGGCCCUGGCCUACGUACCCUCCAGCAGCCACGCACACGCGCCUCCAUACGCUAGUCCAGACCUGUACCCGAGCGCCAAUGCACUUGUACCUGCGAAAGAGAACAAGAAAAGAGCAGCAGAAUAGCAGCCAAUAGGAGAACAAAAAUUGUUUUUUUUGUGUUAUUCGGCUAUAAAGCCUUUUAUUUUCGAUUGUAAAUGGUUCUUCUUUACGAAUGAAAUAUACACAUGCAUAUUACACACUCGAACGCCACAUAAACACAAAAAUACACAUAAAAAAACAGAAGCAAUAGAAAACAACCGAUUCUUAAAGGUGAUUUUCUGACUGAAAUCUCGGGGGCGUUCUUUUUUUUCGGCUUGAUCUUUUGUUUAUUUUUUAUUUUUACUCGAAGGCAUGAAUAAAAAAGGGAAAAGCGGGAGUUUACCUUGAAAGCACGCCGUAGAUCUCCUCUUGCUUAGUUAAAAUCGAAGUUAAGAGGAGAUUGAAAGGAGAAAAGGUGUUCUCUCCAGUCUAAAUCUGUUGGCUGCUGCCAGGGAAAGGAGAAUCGGCAUUUUCAAAGGGGAUUUAGGGUUUAGAAAAGAAGAAAAUGGAUGGGGUUUCAGCUGAACGGGGUGUUUUGUUGGGGAUUUUAAGGGAGUAAGAAAUGGCACCGUUUAGACCAAUGAUAAUGGUCUCAAACGACACCGUCUAGGCCACCCCCUUUAUGCCUGAUCCAAUUCGUUUCUUCGACCCUCAGGACCCGCGCGCCUUUGCGGUGAAGGGUUAUUUUCCAUAUCAGUCCUUCCCUUUCGCACAGUAUUCAAAUCAGCCCGUAUUCUUGUUUCAUUUUUUUAUUAAUUUAGCCUUGUGAUUUACACUCGUUUGCAAAUGGAUCCGCGCUUAAACGUAGCAUUUGGGAUCUAGUAUAUUGCCAGUUUUAGUCCCUAGCUGUUUUCGUUCAUUGAUUAUUGGUCCUUUUAUUGUUAUUGUUUUAUUUUCAAAUUGUCCCUACUGUUUUAGUUUAAUUCCAGUUAAGUUUUCCUUAUUUUUUU
rnacentral:lncRNA from 1 species